AUUUAGAUUCAAAAGGGGCAGCAGAGAGGACUCAUUAAACCUCUGGAACAUCUUAGAUGAGUGUGUCUGGAAAGCCCAAUUUUAUGGGAAGGGUUCUUGGAACCGAGUUUUCUUGGCAGCUCCUAGAGUUACCUUUUACCAACCAUCCAUUAUAUUUCUAAAUCUAGCUGGUCCAACAAGUUGCUUUAGAGCAGUUUCUCCAAGCCUAAUGUGUUUUAUAUUUGCACUCCAGAGGGUAGUAUUUCAGAGCCUCUCAGGUGCAAACUUGGGGUUUUCCAUGAUCCGGUGACUCAGCUGAGGAAAGCGUCUGACCAGUGACUGCCUGUUUAUAUAUAUAUACUUUGUUAGGAAUGGUUAUUUUUACUGAGUCCUUGUCAACUUCCUGUCAAUCCCAGAUUUUCCAAUAGAAAUACUUCACACUGGAAUUAUGUCUUUAUAAGGCAGCAGCUGUCACAAAGGAGUGGUAAGGCCUGAGGACAUGAGAAUUUCAGGGGGAAGGGUAUGUGUGAGAAGAUUCAGAACUUGUAACCCAGGGGGGUUUUUAGGAGUCUCGGAUAAAUAGGAUUUUCCUAGUCCCAAAACGUAAAGACUACAUGCAUUGCCCACUAGUCAGGCUUCUUCAUAGCUAACUAGCAUGACUGAUAGAAGCUAGACAUUUUCUUGGACAUAUUCUCAGAUGCCACAUGCAAAAAUCACUUCAUAGAGAAUAUAUAUUGAUCUGUUUUUUAGAGCCAUUUGGAUUUUCUAAGUAAAAUUCGUGAUUUUACCUGUAUUUGCUAUAUAUUAAUAACAUGACUGCUCAAGAUCUUUUAAUUUAUGGCUAAUAUAGACAGAUCAUCCUUUUUCACCUGCCUCUGUGAUGGCUUGUUAACCUAUUAGUAGCUACUUAAACAAUAAAGUAUCUUUGGAAAUUGUGCUACUAGUUGGCUACAACAUUGUAGAAGUUGGUACCAAUUACCUGAAAUUAUUUUUUACUUUUAGAGGACUGAUAGAUGCUUGUUAGAAUUGAGCCUGUCUCUGGUAACUUUGUUAAAGGGAAAAGAGAGUAUUGGGGUAAAGUUUAGGUUCAGUUUUACUUUUUAUUAUUAUUGUUUGUGUUUUUGUUUUGUUUUUCUGUUUUUAGAGGGAGGCUCUCACUCUGUUGCUCAGGCUGGAAUGCAGUGGCGUGACUAUAGCUCACUGCAGCCUCAAAUUCCUGGGCUCACGCAAUCCUCAUGUCUCAGCCUCCUGAGUAGCUGAGAAUAUAGACAUGUGCCACCAUGCCCAGCUAAUUUUUAAUUUUUUUUGUAGAGACUGAUAUUUACAUAGUAAUUAAGUUUGGAUUACAUCCUGGACCUUGAAAGAUUGCCAGAAAACCAAAAUUGACUGUUAUACAAAUCACCUGUAGCUUGAUCAUUGUUUGGUCAUUAGUGUUAUUGCACCAAAGUGAUAAAAAGUAGUUUAUGUACAGAAUUUUAAGGAACUUUUUUUUCUUACUAUUUUCUUACACAUUAGAGAUAAUGCGCUGUGGUAAAAGAGCAGUAGUUUUUUUCUUUUUUAAAAAAAGAUGGGGUUUCACCACGAUGGCCAGGCUGGUUUUGAACUCCUGACCUCAGGUGAUCCACCCACCUCAACCUCCCAAAGUGCUAGGAUUACAGGCAUGAGCCACCACGGCCCGCUAAAAGAGCAGUAAUUUAAAGCACCUUUGAGAAAUCUAACUUUUCCCUUUGUAACCUUUUGGAUUGAAGCAUGAUUUUUGAGAAAUGGAACAAUCAGGAUAGUAGUUAUGAACAUUGUAAACUUGGCUUAUGUUAAAUAUAUAUAGAUUAAUUUAGUAGUCCAUGGAAAAUAUGCAGCUAAAAUAAUACAGCAAUUCUAAAAUAAUACUUGUUAUGCUACUUUUUUUGGUUAACCGGGGGCAUGUAAGUUAGGUAAAAUAAACCCUUACCAUUCUGUUAAUGAUACCACUAUUAUCAGUCAUUAGAUUGGACAAGAAAUAGCAGUUUUGGUAUUUCAACCCUCUUGGGCUCCCUGGCAUGUUCAAGCACUCUUACUUGAAAUCUUAGUUCUGUAAUGGUGAAAAUAACUCUAGACCCAUGCCAUCCCUGUGGUCCUCAGUGUGAUCUUACUGCUGUGAUUUGGCCUUUUCUCUGACUCCUUGAGGUAUGUCCUGAUCCUGGUACAUUAGAAAGUGACUGUUGGAGCACAACACCGCAAGUAUAACUUUGCUUACAGUGCCAACUAGAGCAGCCUUGAGAUUCUGUCCGGGCGGUGCUAGUGAAUUUUCUUUCCAUUUAAUAGAUUCGGCUGCUUAGUUCAUCAGAAGCUGUUAGUAGUACAGGUCAGAAUCUGCUCUUACUUGUGCACAUGUACCACCUUCUCGUCUCACACCACUGUUCAUGAACAACAAGACUAGGUUUUCUUUUAAGUUGUUCGUUUGUUUGUCCUUGAGAUAGAGUAUUGCUCUGUUACUUAGGCUGGAGUGCAGUGGCACAAUCUCUGCUCACUACAACCUCUGGCUCCCAGGUUCAAGCGAUUCUCCUGCCUCAGCCUCCUGAGUAGCUGGGAUUACAGGCUCCUGCCACCACACCUGGCUAAUUUUUGUGUGUUUUUUGUUAUUGCUUUUUUUUUUUAGUAGAGAUGGGGUUUCACCAUGUUGGCCAGGCUGUUCUUCAACUCUUGACCUCAGGUGAUCCACCCAUCUUGGCCUCCCAAAAUGCUGGCCACCCACCAUACCUGGCCUGUUUUAAGUUUUACAUAAUGCUUUACUUCUCUUUCUCUGUCACCAGACAGACAUUCAACCCCAUAUCAAAAUUACUCUCUCCCCAAACCUGUGAUUAUCUCCUUUAUCUCAGUAGUUAAAAUGAAUACAGUUCAGAUUCAAUGUGGCAUUUUGAAAGCCAGGGGACACACCCAGGAUGAUUAUGGUACCUGGGUACAGGAGAACAGAAAAACAGUUCUCUGCUAUGGAAUAUUAAUUAUGAAUAUUAGCUCUCUUUUUACUCGAUUCACAGUAGUUUAAUGGUUACCUUAAAAAUAAACUGAGACCGGGUAUGGUGGCUCACACCUGUAAUCCUAGCACUUUGGGAAGCCAAAGUGGGAGGAUCAUUUGAGCUCAGGAGUUUGAAACCAUCAGGGGCGACAGAGUAAGACCUCACCUCUACUUAAAAGAAUAAAAGGCUGGGCACAGUCACGCCUGUAAUCCCAGCACUUUGGGAGGCCGAGGCGGGUGGAUCAUGAGGUCAAGAGAUCGAGACCAUCCAGGUCAACAUGGUGAAACCCGGUCUCUACUAAAAAUACAAAAAAUUAGCUGGGCAUGGCGGCGCGUGCCUGUAAUCCCAGCUACUCAGGAGGCUGAGGCAGGAGAAUUGCCUGAACCCAGGAGGCGGAGGUUGUGGUGAGCCGAGAUCGCGCCAUUGCACUCCAGCCUGGGUAACAAGAGCGAAACUCCGUCUCAAAAAAAAAUAAGUAAAUAAAAUAAAAUAUAAGCCCAAACAUAGUGGCUUGACAUUGUAAUCCCAGCGCUUUGGGAAGCUGAGGUAGGUGGAUCGCUUUGAGCUCAGGAGUUCUAGACCAGCCUGGGCAACAUGGUAAAAACCUCUUCUCUACAAAAACAAAAAUUAGCCAGGCAUGGUGGUGGGUGCCUAUAAUCCAGCUACUAGGGAGGCUGAGGCAGGAGAAUCGCUUGAACCUGGGAGGCAGAGGUUGCGGUGAGCCAAGAUCAUGCCACUGAACUCCAGCCUGGGUACUGGGAGACAGAGUGAGACCGUGUCUUAAAAGUAAAUAAAUAAGGGGGCCGGGAGCGGUGGCUCAAGCCUAUAAUCCCAGCACUUUGGGAGGCCGAGGAGGGUGGAUCACGAGGUCAAGAGAUCGAGACCAUCCAGGUCAACAUGGUGAAACCCCGUCUCUACUAAAAAUACAAAAAAUUAGCUGGGCAUGGCGGCGCGUGCCUGUAAUCCCAGCUACUCAGGAGGAUGAGGCAGGAAAAUUGCCUGAACCCAGGAGGCGGAGGUUGCGGUGAGCCGAGAUCGUGCAUUGCACUCCAGCCUGGGUAACAAGAGUAAAACUCCGUCUCAAAUAAAAUAAAUAGGAAAGAAAGAAAGAAUAAAAAUAAACUGAAUUCCUAUUUCCAGCCUCCCCAAAGAGACACUAAGUUCUUCUCUUCUUUUUUUUUCUCUCUAAUUAGUGUUGAAAUUUUUGUUACAUCUCCCUUUCUUCUGGUUUAUUUUGUUUGAAUUUUCUUUUCUCUUUUCCUUAUGUUUGGUUCUGUGCACGAUGAAGUUUGAGGCUAUCGGUGCAGGUGUUCAGUAAUAUAAAACUUUGUUUGUAAGUUAGAAUCCUAUUUUACUUCUUCUUGAGCCUGAGUGGUAAUCUUAGAAAAGUCUGUUGAGAUUUAGUUAUAAUAAACGUACUACUUAAUUACCGCACAAGUUUAAACACAGAGUUUGCUGUCACAAUAUAAACACCCAGAUGAGGGCCUGAGAGAAGCCUUCACACUCCCACCCACAUGAACUCUGUUGGGUGUUUUCUUCCUGCCCUCAAUCUGGCAAACAAAAAUAUGGAAUUUGUUCCAAGAAUUUCUGUGAAACCAGUUUAGAAACUUUAUAAAUGGCUCAACUAAAUGCCCAAAACCUGAUUACUGCCAUUCCAUUUUGCCAGCUUUCUCCAAGCCAUUAUUUUAUUUUAAAAAAGUGAUUUUUCUUGAGAGCUUUGUUAUUCUUAAGAUACUUUAUCUAAUUUGUUGCAAGUUUUUAAAACUCCAAUUUUGAGACUUUUCUUUUUUUUUUUACUCUCUGUAGCUUUUAUAGAAUAAAACAUGUUUGGGCUUUAAAAUUCUAAGGUAACUAUUUUAAAUGGGAAUAGCUAGCAGCUGUGUGUGUAAACCAGACACUGUCAGUUAUUUCAUCAGUUUUAUAUAAUAAAAUUUCAUUGCUUUUAAUAUAAUUGAAAAUCUGUUUAAAAACAGCCCAACAUCUAUUUUUGAUAAAAUUGCCGUGGUAAACAAAUAGGUCAUUUCUGUGCAUGUGUUUGAAAUGAAUUUAUGUAGAAAAUUAUUUUAUUGAUACUCUUGGAAUGUCCCUACUUUUCAAUUAUCCAGUCACUUAAAAUAUUUACUGAGCUCUUCUGUAUGUGCCAGGCACUGUUCUAGCAGUAAUCGAGGCAUCAGGGCUGCUGCUCUCAUGGAGCUAACCUUAAGAAAAAUAUUGAUAGUGACAUGACUUUGGACCAGCCUGGCUAACACAGUAAAACCCCAUCUCUACUAAAAAUACAAAAAUUAGCCAGGCGUGGUGGCAUGCACCUGUGAUCCCAGCUCCUUUGAGUUUAAGGCAGGAGAAUUGCUUGAACCUGAGAGAUAGAGGCUGCAGUGAGCAAGAUUACACCACCGCACUCCAGCAUGGGCAUCAGAGCAAGACUGUGUCUCAAAAAAAAGAAAAAUAUUGAUAAUGAAUUCCAGGCAGACAAUUAAAACAGUAAUUGGGGUGGCUCUGAAAUGAGGUAGACAGAAAAUGCCAGUUUGAGAAGGUGACAUAUAAGCUGCUGAGUAAAAAGAAAGAGCCAGCAAUGGUGGGAGCAAAACCAGUGCCUGGCUUGGAGCAGCAGCCACUGAGGUAUCCCUGACCAGGGUCCUUUCACCUAUCCACAAGCAUGGGGAACAUCUUUGCCAACCUCUUCAAAGGCUUUUUGGCAAAAAAGAAGUGCGCAUCCUCAUGGUGGGCCUGGAUCCUGCAGGGAAGACCACCGUCUAGUACAAGCUUAAUCUAGGCGAGAUGGUGACCACCAUUCCCACCAUAGGCUUCAAUGUGGAAACCGUGGAGUACAAGAACAUCAGCUUCACUGUGUGGGACGUGGGCGGCUGGGACAAGAUCCGGCCUCUGUGGUGCCACUACUUCCAGAACACACAGGCCUGAUUUUCGUAGUAUACAACAAUGACAGCACAUGAUUAAAGCCUGCGAGGAGUUCAUGAAGAUGCUGGCCAAGGAUGAGCUCUGGGAUGCUGUCCUCCUGGUGUUUGCCAACAGGCAGGACCUCUCCAAUGCCAUAAAUGCAGCCAAGAUCACAGAUAAGCUGGGGCUUCAUUCCCUAUGCCACAUGAACUGGUACAUUCAGGCCACCUGUGCCACCAGCAGCGAUGGGCUCUAUGAAGGAGCAGGCUGGCUGUCCUGUCAGCUCCAGAACCAGAAGUGAACAUGACACCCUUCCUUCUCACUCCUCUUGUCCUCUCCUUUACUCUCAUGGUGGCAAACACAGGGCUCCCAAUGUGAGUGCCAAGAGCUGCCUCCAUGGUUCAGUCACCAUGUGCAUCACACCGUGGUGUAACUGUGGCACAUGCAGCCUGCAGCCAGGCUUUUUCAAUGUAAGUAGCUUCUGUUUCCAGUUAGGCAGUUUCUGGGACUCCUGUGCAAUAUUACUCAGCUUUUUAAAUUGUAACAAGAAAAUCAACUCACUGUUCAGUGCUGACAGGGGAUGUAGGCCCUUGGGCACCUAGCCUUGGGAGUUGCUGUUGGGAGAGCUGGGCACGCCCUUGACUUUAGAGCUCCAUUGAGAUCCAUUUUGAUAGUUGGCUUUUUUUUUUUUUUUAAAUGAAAAGAGUCAGCCAUAAAAAGGUCAUAGGAUGGAUUUUCUAAGCAGAGGGAAUAGUCCUAAAGUGGAAAUGAGUUGGGUGUUAAAAAGCAGAAAGAAGGCCAGCCAAACUGACUUAGUGUUUGUGUUGAGAUGUCAAAGGGCAUGCAGCCAUGUGUGUGGAAUUGCAGGGGCAGUCGGGGACUAGGGUAAGAUUGAGGUCAUAUAGGUAGACAGGAGCUUGGGUUUUAUCAGCAUGGUGGGAGGCCAUUAGAGGAUCAGAGGCAUGACAGUGCACUCCAGGCAUAAAGAAUUGGUUGUGUGUGUUGAGCGAAGGAGAAUGGCAGUAAAACUAGUUAGGAGGCUAUUGCAGUAGUGUAGUUGGUAGUGACUUGAAUUAGGGUGCUAGUAACAGAGAAGGAGAGAAGUGGAAGGGUUUGGGCUGUGUGUUAGAGGUAUGGUUCAUUUACUUGUGCUAUAGAUUUUACCAUGAAUGCCAGGGUGGAUGGUGCCUUUACUGAAACAGUGGAAACAGGGAGCAGGGGGAGCAGGUUUUUGAGGAAAAUCAAGAGUUCUGUUUUGUCCAUUUUAAGAUACCUAUUAGAGAGCCAAUUGGAGAUGUCAAAUUAGCAAUCAAAUAUAUGACUCUGGUGUUCUAGGAAGAGGCACGGCAGGGCUAGAGGUGCAGGUUUAUGAUUAAGCAGCAAAGAACAAAUGUUUUAUUUUAUUUUUAAUGUUAUUUUAUUUUUGGGAGGAGUCUUGUUCUGUAGCCCAGGCUGGAGUGCAGUGGCAUGAUGCCAGCUCUGGCAACCUCUGCCUCCUGGGUUCAAGUGAUUCUCCUGCCUCAGCCUCCCUAGUAGCUGGGAUUACAGUCGCCUGCCAGCACACCCAGCUAAUUUUUGUAUUUUUAGUAGAGACGCGGUUUCACCAUGUUGGCCAGGCUGGUCUUGAACUCCUGACCUCAAGCAAUCCACCCUCCUUGGCCUCCCAAAAUGCUGGAAUUACAGGCCUGAGCCACCCCACCCGGCCCAAGAACAAAUGUUUUAAAACCAUUGGACUUGAUAAGAUCACUAGGGAAAUUGUGUACAUUGGGAAGACGAGAACACCUAGUGCCUUGGGAACUCUAGGAGAAGGGAUCUGGCAGAUGUGACUGAGUAGGAACAGCCAGUGAGAUGGAAGGAAAGCAGUAGAUAGUGGUGUCAGAGAAACCAAAAGCUGAAAAUUUCAAGGAGGGACUGUUGAAAAUUUCCAGGAGGGACUGUCAGAUGCUACAGAGAGGUUGAGUUGAGUAACAGCAAAAACAUUGGCUUUGAGGGUCACUCAUAAUCUUGACAAGAACAUUCUCCAGUAGAGUAGAUAUGAAUGGGUCAAGGAGAGAAUAGAAGAAGGAGAUGGUGAUUAUAGACAAGUCUUAAAUCACCAAGAAUUGUAUCAAGAGUAGAUGUAGGCCGGGUGCGGUGGCUCAUGCCUGUAAUCCUAGAACUUUGGGAGGCCAAGGUGGGUGGAUCACCUGAGGUCAGGAGUUCAAGACCAGCCGGGCCAUCAUGGUGAAACCCCAUCUUAAAAAAAAGAAAAAAAGAGGAGAUGUAAUGGGUAAUUGUGUUUUCUAAGAGAGAAUGGGGAUAGCAAACGUGUACUUUUUAAUCUAAUGUGAAUCUAUAGAAAUGUCACUAUAUAUUAUAAGUCGUAUAUGUUUACCUCCUACCUGUGAACCCAGACAUGUAGUGGAAAUGGGAUCCAUUCACUGUGUGAACACUGUUGAAUGAAGCACUGACACAGUGGUCCUCAUGUAGCUGCGCUCCUGGGAUUAUGAUAAGUAACUGAGUUUACUAAUUGGAGGCUAUAAUUUAAUAUAUUUCAACCUAGAAAUAGUGCUGAAUGCAUAGUUGUUUUGGCUAGCUGUGGUGGCUCACGCCUGUGAUCCCAGCAUUUUGGGAGGCCAAGGCGGGUGGAGCACUUGAGGUCAGGAGUUCAAGACCAACCUGGCCAACAUGCUGAAACCCUGUCUCUACUAAAAAUACAAAAAUUAGGUGGGCAUGGUGGCAUGUGCCUGUAAUCCUAGCUACUUGGGGGGCUGAGGAAGAAGAAUUCCUUGAACCCGGACCCAGGAGGCAGAGGUUGCAGUGAGACAAGAUUGCACCACUGCACUCUAGCCUGGGCUACAGAGUGAGACUUUGUCUCAAAAAAAAAAAAGUUGUUUUGUAUGUGUACUGCCUCCCCCACUUUCUUUUUUUCUUGCUUUCUGUGUGUGUGUGUGUGUGUGUGUGUGUGUGUGUGUGUGUGUGUGUGUGUCUGUGUGGCAAUAAACAUGAUUUUUAUUUUUUAUUGUACUUCAGGUUCUGGGGUACAUGUGCAGAUCAUGCAGAAUUGUUGCAUAGGUACAUACAUGGCAAUGUGGUUUGCUGCCUCCAUCCCCCUGUCACCUAUAUCUGGCAUUUCUCCCCAUGUUGUCCCUCCCCAACCUCCCAACCUCCCAACCUCCCAACCCCCCACUGUCCCUCCCCUAGUCCCCCCACCAACAGACCCCAGUGUGUGAUGCUCCCCUCCCUGUGUCCAUGUGUUCUCAUUGUUCAGCACCCACCUAUGAGUGAGAACAUGAGGUGUUUGAUUUUCUGUUCUUGUGUCAGUUUGCUGAGAAUGAUGGUUUCCAGAUUCAUCCAUGUCCCUACAAAGGACACAAACUCAUUGUUUUUUAUGGCUGCAAAGUAUUCCAUGAUGUACAUGUAUCACAUUUUCCUUGUCCAGUCUGUCAUUGAUGGGCAUUUGGGUUGGUUCCAGGUCUUUGCUAUUGUAAACAGUGCUGCAAUGAACAUUCGUGUGCAUGUGUCCUUAUAGUAGAACGAUUUAUAGUCCUUUGGUUAUAUACCCAGUAAUGGGAUUGCUGGGUCAAAUGGAAUUUCUAUUUCUAGGUCCUUGAGGAAUCGGCACACUGUCUUCCACAAUGGUUUAACUAAUUUGCACUGCCACCAACAGUGUAAAAGUGUUCCUAUUUCUCCACAUCCUCUCCAGCAUCUGUUGUCUCCAGAUUUUUUAAUGAUCAUCAUUCUAACUGGCAUGAGAUGGUAUCUCAAUGUGGUUUUGAUUUUCAUUUCUCUAAUGACCAGUGAUGAUGAGUAUUUUUUCAUGUUUGUUGGCCUCAUACAUGUCUACUUUUGAAAAGUGUCUGUUCAUGCCCUUCACCCACUUUUGAAUGAGUUUGUUUUUUUCUUGUAAAUCUGCUUUAGUUCUUUGUAGAUUCUGGAUAUUAAUUAGCUCUUUUGUCAGAUGGGUAGAUUGCAAAAAAUUUUUCCCAUUCUGUUGGUUGCUGGUUCGCUCUAAUGAUUGUUUCUUUUGCUGUACAGAAGCUCUGGAGUUUAAUUAGAUCCCAUUUGUCUAUUUUGGCUUUUGUUGCCAAUGCUUUUGGGUGUUUUAGUCAUGAAGUCCGUGCCUAUGCCUAUGUCCUGAAUGGUUUUGCCUAGGUUUUCCUCUAGGGUUUUUAUGGUGUUAGGUCUUAUGUUUAAGUCUUUAAUUCAUCUGGAGUUAAUUUUAGUGUAAGGUGUCAAGAAGGGGUCCAGUUUCUGUUUUCUGCACAUGGCUAGCCAGUUUUCCCAACACCAUUUGGGGAAUCCUUUCCCCAUUGCUUUUGUCAGGUUUGUGAAAGAUCAGAUGGUUGUAGAUGUAUGGUGUUGACUCCAGCCUCCUCCACUUUCUAAGUCACCAAUCAAUCAGCAAUCAGCAGUUCCUUCUGCAUUUUAAAAAGAGCCCCCUUGGCAUUUUUUUCUAUUAACUGUGAAUGUUUGUUAAGGCUUCUGUUUGCUGUACUCUGUGCUGUGGUCUCAAUGUGUCCCUCCCUCCACCCACCCAAUUCAUGUGUUGAAACCUAAUCCCCAGUGUGGUGGGUGGUAGGAGAUGGAGGCUUUUGGUAAGUAAUUAAGUGAUGAGGACUGAGCCCUCAUUAAUGGGAUUAGUGUCCUUGUAAAAGAGGCCCAAAAGAGCUUGUUAGCCCAUUUAGCCCGUUCCACCACACUAGGAUGCACUGAAAAGCCGCCAUCAGUGAAGCAGAGUGAGUCUUCACAGGCACAGAAACUACCGGCACCUGGAUCUUGGACUUUCCUGUCUCUAGAGCUGGAAGAAAUACAUUUCUGUUGUUUAUAGUUACCCAGUCUAAGGCAUUUUGUUAUAGCAGCCCAGCUGGACUAGUUUUUCCUUUUCCACUAUUAUUGAAAAAUAAUUUCUUCAGGACCAUUUUUUUGUGGGAACAUUUUAUAAUCCCCAUAUCUGUAGCCUCUUAGUGUAUAGUAUAAUGUUCUGCUGUUAUCUUAGGUUGAGGAACAAGUUUCUAAUACUUGUCUGUAGAUGUCUUUAACUUUGUGGUGCUUCUUGCUAUCAUUACUUUUAUGAAUCAAGUACACCUGCAGGGGAUAUUUAUGACUGUGUUCCCUUUUUUAUCUACCUAAAAAAUACCAACUUUCUAUGUGUGAUUCUGGGCCACAAUUACAAAUUUUGAACCCUCUGGCCAUCACAAUUUUUAACUUUAUUUUCUGUCUGGAAUACUGUACACAGUCUGUAUUCGUGAUCUAAAUCAAUUCAGCCUGCAGAUCCUCAAGUUUACUAUUCCACAUAGCAAGAAAUAUUGGGGCAUGAUAGAAGGUUUAGAUGUAAUAGUUUAUUUAGUGUUAAAUUUUACCUGAAAUGCCUAAUAGUACAGGUGCACAUUUAAAUAUACAAGCUAAUAAUCCUGUGACUCAGACUGUUGAUUAGUGGUGAAAGCAGAAAGCUAUGUUAUAUUGAUGCUUAUUUUGUUUUGAAGAAAGAAGUAAUUGCUAGCUUGUCAGAUAUUGAGCCUCUCUGACCAAAAGAAAUUCAGCUAUCACUCUGUGUCUGACCUUUCACUUUCCAAACUCAGAAACUGAAUAAAUUUAGAUAACAAGGGAUACUUGUUUUUGUAACAUUGGGCUAAUUGUAUAAAGCACAGACUGGGACUUGCCCAAUUAAUACAUUUUGUUUCAUAUUCCAGAACUUCUGGCUUACACAGUCAAGUGAUUUAACCUAAUUCACAUAAAUGAACAAACUGAGGCAAUUUCUCUUUCCACCCUUUUUCAGAAAAUAAAUAUAACUUGGUCUUUUAUUUAUCAUAAUUCCAUAACAUGAAGGUUUCAGGGAUCUAUAAUGAAAAACUGAGUUGGAAUGGGGAGACAAUCCAGAUGUUUUGCAUAUAUAUGUAUAUAUAUAAAACUUUUGUAUAUUUGAGAUAUAUAUAUAUUAAGAUAUAUAUAAAACUUUUUUUCACCUAAAAGUACUCUAGCAAAGAAAACUGAUGAAUAAUAAAGAUUUUAAUACUUGAAAGCAUUGUAUAUCUCAUGGUUUCUUUUUUUUGUUUUUUUAAGAUGGAGUUUCCCUCUUGUUGCCCAGGCUGGAGUGCAAUGGUGCAGUCUUGGCUCACCGCAACCUCUGCCUCCCGGGUUCAAGCGAUUCUCCUGCCUCAGCCUCCCUGGUAGCUGGGAUUAUAGGCAUGUGCCACCACACCUGGCUAAUGUUGUAUUUAUAGUAGAGAGGCAGUUUCUUCAUGUUGAUCAAACUGGUUUCGAACUCCUGACCUCAGGCGAUUGGCCCACGUUGGCCUACCAAAGUAUUGGGAUUAUAGGUGUGAGCCACUGUGCCCAGCCUUUUUCUUUUUUUAGUAAGUUUUUCAUGGACCAUAAAGUUCGUCCUUUCAUAAUACAGAAUUCUGUGGUUUUUAUUUAUUUAUUUAUUUUUGAAAUGGAGUCUCACUCUGUCACCCAGACUGGAACAUAGUGCCACAGUCUUGGCUUACUGCAGCCUCUGCCUCCCAGCUCAAGCCAUCAUUCCACCUCAGCCCCCGCAAGUAGCUUGGGGCUACAGGUACACACCACCGUGCCCAGCUAUUUAAUAUUUUUUGUAGAGAUGGGGUUUGUCCAUGUUGCCCAGGCUGGUCUUGAACCCCUGAGCUCAAGCAAUCCACCUGCCUUGGCCUCCCAAAGUUCUGCCACCACAUCUGGCCAUAAUUCUGUGUUUGUACAACCAUCACUAAUUUUUAUCCCCCUCAAAGAGAAACCCAUACACAUGAGCAUUCAUUUUCUGUUCCCCUAUUUCCCCUCGUCAGCCCUAAGUAACUAUUAAUCUACUUGCCUAUUCUGGACAUUUCACAUAAAUGGAAUCAGGCGAUUGGCCAUUAUAUGGCCUUUUGUGUCUGACUACUUUAACUUACCUUUCAUGUUUUCAGGGUUCAUCCAUGUCAACCAAGUAUUAGUAUUUUACUCCUUUAUGGGAUUUUUGUUGUUGUUGUUUGUUUUUUGAGACAGAGUCUUACUCUGUUGCCUAGGCUGGAGUGCAGUGGCACGAUCUUGGCUCACUGCAGCCUCUGACUCUCAGCUUCAAGCGAUUCUCCUGCCUCAGCCUCCUGAGUAGCUGGAAUUAUAGGUGCCUGCCACCGUGUCCAGUUAAUUUUUGUAUUUUUAGUAGAGAUGGGGUUUUGCCAUCUUGGCCAGGCUGAUCUUAAACUCCUGACCUCGUGAUCCACCCACCUCGGCCUUCAAAGUGUUGGGAUUACAGGCGUGAGCUACUGCACCCAGCCAUAUUUUACACCUUUUUAUGACCCAGAAUAUUCCAUUGCGUGGAUACAGCACAAUUUGUUUAUCUGUUUCUCAGAAUUUCCAAUCUGUUUCUCAGUGGUAGACAUUUGGGUUAUUUCUCCCUUUCGGUUAUCAUGGGUAUCACUGCUGCUUUGAACAUUUGUGUUCAUGGUUUUUUUUUUUUGGCAUAUGUGACCAUGUGUUUUCAGUUCUCUUGCCUGUAUACCUAGGAGUGGAAUUGCUGGGUCAUACAGUAACUCUGUGUUUAACAAUUUGAGGAGCUGAACUGUUUUCCAAAGUGAGUACACUGUUUUACAGUCUGUAUCAGCGAAGGAGUGUGUUGCCACAUGUACAUACGUGAUGAAAAAAAUCAUUUAGCCUCAGAGUUAGGGAUUCUAUGCUAUUUCCCACCUUUGCUUAUUUAAAGAAAAAAACUUAAAUUUCAGAUGAGUUCAGGAAAGCUUGUCAGGUUUUUUGAGUCUUACCACUCUCUUGGAAUGGUAACUAUUAUAGAUGCCAAUAGGUACCUUGGCAAUACCUCUAAUUCUAAUUUUACAUAUGCUCCUUAAUUGCUCUAAAAAUUUUAACUGUUGAAUGUUUGAAUGCAAAUUACAGAACAAAAAUCACAAAUGGCUUAAAUGAUAAAGAAGUUUUUCUAAUACAGAAACUGAAAGAUCCAGGUAAGACUGGCUUCAGCCAGAACUUGAUCCUCCACACUGACUAGAACAGCAUUCCCUGGUUGGCUUAAACAGAAGUGCCCGAAUCAGAUCUUCUUGGCCCUGAUUGAUCUGCCUUGGUUGUGUGCUCAUUUUUGGUCACAGUUUGGGAUAAGCUGGCGCUGGGAGUGAGUACAGUCCAAAUCAGGGUUCUCCUAGGAGAGGAAGGAAGAAUGUAUGCUGGAUAAAUACCCAACAUGGGUCCACUAUAGAGUCACACCUCUCCUUCUGUAGAGCUGCUAAGGAAAGAAUAAAUACGCAUUCACUGCACUCAAGCCUGUAUCUGAUAACUUACUGAAUUCAGUUAGCUCGUCUUUCAGGAGACCAAUUUUUUUUUCUAGCCUUUCAUAACAAUCCUUUAUAUGUCUGCAUCAUUUUAUUCUUACUUGUUUUGGUAAAGCGUUUUAUAGCUUUUUUUAAGACAGUUUCUUUGUUUUAAGUAGUAAGUGUGGGCUGUUAUAAUCGUGGUGUCUGAGUUUUAGUACUAGAGAUACCCGUUGUAGUUAAGAAUGUUUUAUUUUUGCUUGGUGAUAGUCCCUUGCUUGAUAAAAGGGUUGGGUUUUUAGUGCAACCUGAGUUUUGUCUGAGGCAGUAUCUCUGUCUCCUCCCGCUAAUUCUAAUAAGUAACAGGGCAAAAGAGUAAAUAAGAGUAACUUAAACAUUUCUCCUGCGGGCAUCAGCGAGAAGAACGCAGAUAGGCACUGAGUUUCUGCUUACUGUAUGUACUGUGUGAAUAAUCCAGUUUAGUAACUCUCCUUGUAUCACUGCUAGUCUUAAUAUUUUUCUGCUGCAUAACAAACAACCUCAAAAUCUCAGUGAAUUAUAACCAACAACAAUUUAUUUUCAUUCUCAUGGGUCUGCAGGUUGGUACAGAUCCAUUGAUGCAGGCUUUGCUCAGCUGGGCCAGGCUGGGCUUAAAACUUCUGGCCAGGUUCAGGUCUGUUUUGUAAAUUUUUAUUCUGGAACAUAGGCUGAGAGGCAGUGGCUAUCUGGGCAUGUGGUUACAUGCUCUUAUACAGAAUCCCUGGAGUAUAAGAGGGAUGAGUAGAAACAUGCAGUGUCCCUUAAGACUGCAGCUUGGACCAGCACACUGAUACUUCCUCCUAAUUUUAUUGGCCAAAGUAAAUAAUAUGGCCAAGCCCUGUAUCCAUGGGCCCAGGGAAUAUGCUGUUUCCACAGUGGGACACAUUGCAAAGUCACACAGCAGUAAACAUGGGUGUGUCCUUCUAAUGAGUGAAUAAUUGGGAAUGAUAUUCUCCCUAGCUAUAUGAAUUAUAGGAAUAAAGGUAUGGAAAAUUAUGUGUGACAGAGGCAGAUUUCUCCUUAGUAACUGGGGUUUAUAGAAGACUAUAAUUGGGUACUUUUAACUUUUUACAUUUUUAUUAUGUGUUUAUUUACCCUGAGACAGGCUUUCACUCUGUUACCCAGGCUGGAGUGCAGUGAUGCAAUCAUGGCUCAUUGCAGCCUUGAACUCCUGGGCUCAAAUGAACCUUCAACCUUAGCCUACCAAGUAGCUGGGAUUACAGGCAUAUUUUAAUAAUCUGAUUUAAACCACUAAUAAUGUUCAAACUAAAUUAAUAAUUUUUUUAUUUACUGCUACUUCUGAGAAAGCAACCAUGGUAGUACCGUGUUCAGUGCCUUUUAUCUCAAUGUCUGAAGACAUUUGCUAAAUUGCUUAGUAAUUUUUUUUUUAACUUUUUCCUCCUGAGAUAGAGUUUCACUUUUGUUGUCCAGGCUGGAGUGCAGUGGCGGGAUCUCGGCUCACUGCAGCCUCUGCUUCCCAGGUUCAAGCAAUUCUCCUGCCUCAGCCUCUUUUUUUUUUUUUUUUUUUUUGAGACCGAGUCACUCUCUCGCCCAGGCUGGAGUGCAGUGGUGCCAUCUCAGCUCACUACGACCUCAGCCUCCCAAAUUCAAGCGAUUCUCCUGCCUCAGCCUCCCAAGUAGCUGGGAUUACAGGCCUGCACCACCAUGCCCGGCUAAUUAUUUUUUGUAUUUCUAGUAGAGACAGGUUUUCACCAUAUUGCUUCGGCUGGUCUUGAACUCCUGACCUCAGAUGAUCCACCCCCAAAGUGCUGGGAUUACAGGCCUGAGCCACUGCGCCCUGCCUGCUUAGUAUCCUUUCCUCUUGUGUAAAUUGUAAAAAGGUCUGAAGUCCUUUCUCCUAGUCAGUCUUAAAUUGUUAACGAAGUCUUAUUCCUAUUCUUUCUCUAAAAUCUAGCAAACUAGUCAACUUAUGUGUCACGUCUUACAAGGAGUUUAUAAUACUAGAAUAUAGAAUUCGUGAAAGGGUGGGCAUUUAAAAUCAUAUCCAGAAAUAUCUAAAUAACCUAAGGAACAUUGUAUGCAGCAUCCCUGGAAGGAAUUGUAAGUUUGUCUUUUUAUUUUUGAGAGUUUCUGAUGGUGGUGGUGAAGUGAUUUUGUAGACUUUGAGGAAUAUAGGUUUUAGUAGAUAACGUGGUGUUUUCCCUGCUGAUGCUAAUUAAACUACAGCACUCUUCCCCAAGAAAAGGAUGUUUUGAAAAACUAAAGAUUCCAUGGAAUAUAUUUUAUAUAACUCUGUUAGAAGCCAUAUAUAUUAGUUAGGAUUAGUUUUAACUAUGUGUAAUGCAAAUUCAGGAUAACGGUGGCUUAAACAAAGUAGUUCAUUUUUCUCAUCUAAAAUGUGGCAAGAAGUAGAUACAGUGGUAUAGUGCCAUGUCUCGUUGUCAUUAGGGAUCUACGCUUCCUCUAGCCUACUACAACACUAUUCUUAAUGUGUUCCCCCAUGGUUCAAGGUGGCUGGUUGAGCUCCAUCUGUCAUUUCUGUAUUCAAGGGAGAAGGGCCUGCUUUCCUUUAAGGAAUCUUUAUUGUAAGUCCUAGAUAGUAGAGGCUAUACCAUUGUGAUAUUGUCAGAAUUUAGGCCCUAGUCGUGUGUGCAUGUACACGUAUGUAUGUGUGUGUUUGUAUAAAAUAGCUACAGGAAAGGUUGGAAAUGCAUUAUUUUAAAAAGGAUUAUUUUACCAAAAAGGAGAGGGAGAAUAAAUGCAGAAAGGAAGUUUGCAGUCUCUGCCAUAUUGUAGUUUUUGUUUUUUCCAUUUUAGGUGAGUGUUUUUAAUUGCCUAAAAAAUUGUGGUAGUUGAAGUUAUAUAUUGACUUCUAGGAAUCACAUUCCCGUCUGAUAAUAAAUAGAAGGUUGCGGGUAUGAUGUAAAGAGUAAGUACAGAUGUGGUGCUAAAAGGCAUUAUAGAAAAUUCAGAAAUCUUUUAUGCCUUGAAAUUCAGCUAAAUACCAGUUUGGAUUCAGGAAGAACUAAGAUUUUAAUAUCUUGUUUUUCAGCUCAUUGAAGACUGUUGAUUUAACAUUAUUCUUGUACCACUAAGAAAAAAAUGCAGUUAUAAAAUGCACUCCCAAUUUCAGAGUUGUUCAAAUGUGAGGAAAAUAUGUCUUUGACAAUAUUAACCUUUUUCAUAGCUGCCUUUUGUCUCUUCACAUUUCUCUCUAGCCAGUUGAAGGGACAGUUAUUGCCUGUGAUUGAGACCUGUUUGGUCAAAUGCAGAUAAAGUAGCAAAAAUAAUGCACCACGUUAAUAACAUAGCUAGCACUUACUAACAGGAGAUAUACAGCCAGUCUUUUCUUAUAAAUCUGAGCUAACAAGUUAUAUUAAAAUAUUACUGCUCUGUAUCAGUUAUGUAUUAUCUAUUACUGUAAAACAGACUAACUCAAAACCUAGUAGCUUAAUGUAACCAUUUUGAAAUUUUUAUUGACGUAAUUAUAGGUUCACAUGCAGUUAUAAAAAAAACAAUGCAGAGAGAUCUCAUGUACUCUUUGCCUGUUUCUCCCAAUAGGCAGCAUUUUGCAAAACUAAGAACAUAACCAGGAUGUUAGCACUGAUACAACCCACUGAUGUUGUUCAUACCCCUGUUACCUGCGCUCAUAUAUGCAUUUGUGUGCAUAUUAAGAUGUACAGGUUUAUCACCUGCCUAUGUUUCUGUGUGCACCAUCACAGUCAAGAUAGUGAACGGAACUAACACUAAAAUCCCUUGGGUUGUCCUUUUGUACGCGUACCCCACACCUUCCCUCUAUUCUCACUGUGGUCCCUAAGCCCUGGCAGCCACUAAUCUGUUUACCAUUUUAAAGUUUUGUCCUUCCAAAAGUGUUAUAUUUGCUCAUGAUUCUUUGGAUCUGCAGUUGAGCAGGGCUCAGUUGGGAUGCUUUGUCUUUGUCCCGUGUGGCGUCUGCCAGACUAUACCAGCCCUGAAUGAUUCAAGAUGGUUUCAUUCACAUGCCUAGAGCCUUGGUACUGGCUUUUGGUUGAGGUGUCUGUGAUCCUCCCCACAACCUCUCUCGUGUAGUUGUCUUCUGCUGGGCCUCUUUCCAACGGGAGAGCCUGGACUUCCUUACAUGCCAGCUUCGGGUGCCAAAAAAGCAAAAGUGGAACCUGCUAGAUAUCUUUUCAAUCUAGGCCUGAAACUGGCACAGCCUGCUUUCUGUAGCGGUCUUUUAGUUGGAGAAAUUUGUAAGGAUAGCUCAGAUGCAAGGGGAGGGGAAAUAGACUCCCCUUCUUGGUGGGAGGAGUAGCAAAUGUAUGCAGAGAUGAGAGACGUUGUUAGUGGCCAGCUUUGCAGACCACGGAGCGCACACUCCAGAGUUACAGAAAUGAUGGCACAUAGGUCUGCUUGGAUUUGUUGUAAAUGCUACCUUACUUCAUUUUUGAAAUGUGAAUUUAUUUGAAUUCCAUAAAAAGUACAGAGGAGAAUGUGAUAUGGUUACAGAGUUUUCUGCUGCUAAUGCCCAUUUCAAACAGAACAGUUCUGUUGCAAGGCAAGUUGCCAGAGUUCAAGUUAUCAACCAAAUCUAAGGAUUCCCAAGGGGUCUGUGGUAUUUGCAGAACAAUGGGUUGCUUGAAGUGGCUGUUAAGAUGUUAGGAAUGGUUCACCUCUCUCAUUUUCCCAGGCUAGCUGUUUCUUGUGAUCCUAAAAUAGCAGGGGCUUGUAUAUGUAGUGCCAGAAUUCUAUAAUACUGACUUGGAGAGACCACACAGAUUUCUGUCUUUACGUUAGCUUUUUACAUUAAGGAAUAAAGAUGUUGUUUUUCAACAUAGAAGACAUCUUUUAGAGCAAAGAGAUGAUUUUUCAGCUGAGGAAAUAAAACCAGUAAAACAUUUUCUCUUAAGAUUUUUCUGACUAUAAAAAUGUUAAACCUCCUUCAUUUUAUUGUAAGAGUGACAGCACAGUGGGUCAGAGGCUAGACCUUAGACUUCAUUGGCAGAAUUCUUGAUCAUCUAUAACUAUAUGUGUAACAUACAUACAUAGAUGUAUAACAUCUAUGACUGUAACGAGUAAGCUUUCCUAGAUUUCUGAAAGGAGAGAUGACUAAAGAAUUAUUGCUCAGCAAGGGCUGUGUGCUUAGAGAGUAUUUCAUAAAUCAUGAGGAUGGUUAAGGGUAGGUGUGGUUUCAAAAAUAAAAUGAAUUUUUUCCCCCUGAGUUUAGAAUUACGUUAUUUGGCUAAGAACUUCUUUCCUGCCUUCCUUUCUGAGUGAUAACUGAUUUCACAAACAUUUACCAUGCACUGUCUGUCUCUGGAGAAUAUUGUUAGACAUCAGUACAAGGACAGGGUUCCUAUUUUCCAGGAGACUGGUCUGACAGGACAAAUACCAUGUAUGCAGAGAGCUAAAGUAUAAUAUCAAGGCGAUUAACAUAGAAGAGUUUCAAAAUGAGGUAAGAAUUUUACAGACAACAGACUAAGCUGCCUGACCUCAUUUUUCACCCUCAUAAAAUAGAUUUGUACUGUUUCUCUUCCUUCUCUAAAAUAUUGUCUUAAUAGUUAAGAAAUGUUUCAAUUAUUAAUUGGAGGCUUAGUUUUUAUAGAUGUAUCAGAUUUCAUGUGACCAUUUGAAAGAUUAUUGUAUAGUUUUGGCACAUUUUACCUACUAUGUGCACACAGUUAUGAACACUUGUUUUAUCGUUGUUAAUGAAAAGAAUACAGAAAGGGAAACACAAAGGUCAUUUUUAGCUUUGGUUAAACUAGAGUAGUAUAGGACUUUCAUUUACUGGUUUUGAUACUAAUGGUGAAAAUAGCACAGCUGAUCUCUAUUCACUCUGAAAGAAAAGGAGAUGAGUGUAAGAUUGCAGAAGGAGGCUGGGUGUGGUGGCUCACGCCUGUAAUCCCAGCACUUUGGGAGGCCAAGGCGGGCGGAUCACGAGGUCAGGAGAUUGAGACCAUCCUGGCCAACAUAGUGAAACCCGUCUCUACUAAAAUACAAACAAACAAAAAAAAAAACUAGCUGGGCUUGGUGGUGGUCACCUGUAGUCCCAGCUUCUCGGGAGGCUGAGGCAGGGCAAUAGCUUGACCCGGGAGGUGGAGGUUGCAGUGAGCCGAGAUCAAGCUGCUGCGCUCCAACCUGGCAACAGAGCGAGACUCAGUCUAAAAAAAAAAAAGGAUUGCAGAAGGAGUAUUACCUCGACAGGGGAGAGGAAAUGCCUUCCUUUGUUUUAGCAAACAUUUCUAACAUCUGUUUGGCAGCAUCCAUGGUUCUCCUCUGCUUCCCACCUCCCAAAUAUGAAGGUGUUUUACAUGGAAGCUGUUCAUGGCCUCUGUCUCUCUUCUGGGCAGUCUCUCAAAGGGUGCUUCAGAGGGCCAAGUCCCCUCAACCACCCCUACUCACAGCCCACUUCAACCUCUGUUGGGGACAACCAAACAGACUUCAUGGACCACUGAUCCAUUUUACCACUCCAUUGCCCACUUGUUAACCAGGAGCAUAGUUGGCUGGAACUGGUUAGCCCAUGAUUGUGCUGAAGGGUCAGGCAGCUACAAGGAGUAAAAAUGAACUGAAAGAUUCUCAUUCUGUCUCGGUUGUCUGUUAUGAACUGAAGACUUAAAAUUCCAUCUGUGGUGGUUUCCUUUUUUCUGUAUUCAGCAGAUGUGGUUAACAUAAAAUUAGUUCUAACUGUGAACUCGUUGACUAGGAAUAACUUACAGGCCAAAUACUAUAAUUUCAGGAAAUGGUAAUAUUUAUCUCACAAGGUUGCUUCAUCAGGAUUAAGGUGGAACACAUGUGAAAGUGUGUCAUCCUGGUUGCAUGUUAAUUCUGAGUUUCCAGAGGUCAGUGCUGUGCAGACUCACAGUCAGCUUCAUGUGUGUAUGUCAAGAUGAGAUCUCAGUUUUGAGCUGUAGCCCCACAUUUGCAGCCCACUUCAGUUAUAUAAAUUAAAAAUGGAUCUCACCACUUAAAUAUUCCUGUUACUUGAAGCUCAACACACACACACACACACACACACACACACACACACACUCUCUCUCUCUCUCUCUUGCUCUCUGUCUCUCUCUCUCUCUCUCACAAACACACACACACAUUUUAAAACUCAACAACUCUCCUUUUUUCUCCCUACUUUAUAUGCAUCUGUUUUUCUUCCUUUGUUUCCUUUUUUUUUGGGGGGGGGCAGUAGAGAUAGAGUCUCCCUAUGUUGCCCAGGCUGGUCUCCAACUCCUGGCCUCAAGUGACCCUCCCACUUCAGCUUCCCAGAGGGCUGGGAUUACAGGCAUGAGCCACUGCACCUGGUGUGUUUCAUGUUUUUAUUAAUCUACUACCAUCCUCUCAUUUACACAGCUUCAUUCCUACCUGUCUCUUGUUCUUUAUACUAGUCAUUCCCAAAUGCUGUCCAUUCUACUUCUUAAAAUGUUUCUGGUAUCUGCCUUGACUCAGACAUUCUCCCUAGAAUAUUAUGUUAGUUUUCUAUCUGGCUCUGUCCUUUUUAAGGCCCGAGUCACAUUUAACCUCUUUGGCCAACCCUGUUUUCCUCUCUUCCCUUUCUGGUACCCAUGCUCCAGGUAAGCUCCAAUACUUAACACAUGGACCAUACUUCUUUGUCAUUAUGCCAUCGUUCCUAUUGUACCAUUUGCUUCUGAAUAUUAUUCUUUCUGAUGGAUUUCACAUUUUCAGACUCUUCAAGAAUAAUUCAAAUUUUACCUCUUCAGAAGAGGCUAAUUUGACCUCCUCCGUUGGAAGCAAUCUUUCUUCCUCUGAACGCCUAUAACUCCUAUGUUCCUUUAUUGAAAUUUAGAUUUCUUUGUAGUACAUUUAAAGUUAUUUUAUGCAUAUCUUAUUACUUAGAUUGUAAUCUUGACUCAGAAGCAGUGAGUUAUCACCAGAUCCCCAUAAUGCUGAUGUAGUGCCUAAAAUAGUCUCUUUACUUUGGAAGUGCUCAGUAAAACAUUUGUCUAACACACUGGCUGCUUUUAAAGAGUCUUCCUGUUCAACUGAAAUCUCUGAUAUUAAGCUGCAGUAUGGAAACAGGCUGCCUGUAUGGUAUAGUGGGCUUUGAACCUGCUGUGAGGGCAACCUUGGGUUCCUUCCUUGGAUAUAAGGAUUUCCAGGUAAAAUAAAAAGAAUUUCACUCAUUCCAAAUAGCUCAUUUUCUUUAAGGUGGCACACCUGUAUUUUUCUUUCUCUUUUUUUUAAUACUCAGAAAUAAUAUAAGGCAAAACCAAUCUCUCAUAAUUCUUGGGGGAUUAACUGAAUGUCAUACUCCAUGGUACACAGCCUAAGUAUUGCUUCUUGUUUAGCUAUAAGGUGUCCUAUGUUUCCGAGGUGAGUGGAUCACAAGGUCAGGAGAUUGAGACCAUCUUAACCAACAUGGUGAAACCCCAUCUUUACAAAAGAAAAAUAUUAGCUGGGUGUGGUGGCACGUGCCUGUAAUCCCAGCUACUCAGGGGCUGAGGCAGGACAAUCACUUGAACCAAGGAGUUGGACAUUGCAGUGAGCUGUGAUUGUGCCACUGCACUCCAGCCUGAUGACAGAGUGAGACUCCAUCUCAAAAAAUAAUAAUGAUAAUUUUGUCACAGGGUUAUUUCAUUAAGGGAGCUGAUUUAGUUAAAGCACUUAUUUAGCACAGUACCCCACACAUAUGAAAAGCUCAAUAAAAAUAAGCAGUUACAAUUGCUAUUAUGAAUUUACAGUUUGCGAUUUCAGAUUGGUAAUAUAAAGGCGAGAGCUGCAGCUGGUUUUUUAUGUUUCAGACUGUGCUGAGUAGUUUCCUAGGAAUUAGAUUAGCUCUGAAAUGUUAUGUCAGUUGAGAAUUUUGGUUUCUAGGUGACAGUACUGCAGUAGGAACAGGACUGGCUCUCCCUUUAGAACAAAAGGCUUUCAAUGGGAAUUCAUAGUGACUUCUUUGGUAGUAGUGGGGUGAGGGGGUGGUGAUUAUCAGAUUAUUUCUCUCAACUCCCAGAUUAAAAUGACAACGUAAAGGAGAGAACAGAGAGCCUCUGUGAAAAGGAACCACCACAGAACUACAGGGGAACAGAGGUCUUAAAGAGAUGGGAGAAGAGAAGCAACUCAUGUUUUGUUUUUAUUAAGCACACAGCUAUUAGUGGAUAUGACAAACUCCACAGUAGGACGGAAAAGCCGUAUUAGAGAUACAAGUGGCUGAGACAUGAAUUCCCAAGGUAUCUGACCUCUCCUUCACACAAGCAGUGGCAUAAAUAGUGAUCAUACAAAGUGAAAUAUAGAAAUAGAAAUUUGGAGAAAUUUCUUUUAGAGUUUGAAUGCGACCUGAUUAAAGGAGCUAUGAAGAGUGGACAUUUUCCCCUUUUGUAAAAGGCAACAUGCUUAGUUUGGGGUGAGUUCUGGGGGCCCCAUUGGAUUAGGGUUUUCCAGAUAAACAGAACCAAUAGGGUAUAUAUGAUAUGUAUAUAAGAGGAGAUUUGUAGGGGAAUUGGCUUGGGUGGUGAUAGAGGCUGCGAAGCCCUACCAUCUGCAAGCUAAAGAACCAGGAAAGCCAGUGGUGAAAUUCAGUCCAAGUCCAAAGGCCUGAGAGCCAGGAGAGCCAAUGGUAUAAGUCCUGAUCUGAGUCUGAAAGUCCAAGAAUCAGGAGUGGGGAUGUCCAAGGACAGAAGAUGAAUGUUUCAGCUCAAGAAGAGAGAGGGUGAAUGUGCCCUUCCUCCGCCUUUUUGUUCUGUUUAGGCCCUCGGUGGUUUGGAUGAUGCCCACCCACACUGGGGAGGAUCAUCUGCUGAACUCAGUUUCCACUUCACUGCUGAUCCCCUCCAGAAACACUCUCACACACAGAAAUAGGCAGUAAACAGAAUAAUGUAAAACCAGAUAGCUGGGCAUUUCUUAGCUCAGUCACGUUGAUACAUAAAAUUAACUGUCAUACCCAUCAAGCUACAGUAAGCAGAACUAUGUGAUGGCUGGGCUUCCUUCUAGGGUCGUAAUGAAGUCUGCCUGAUAGGACUUCUAACUGAAAUGAAGGAAUGCAGUGAUGUUUACCCCACCCCCCCCGCAAAAAACUGAGAUAAGUAGUGGGAUUAUUUCUGUUUUAUACCAGACAAAGCUUAGAACUAAAUUCAUCACCCAUUCCCUCUCCAACAUACGCAUGUACACCCCACAACCCCCACCCAUCUCCAUCUGUCCUCUCAUUUCAGCUGAUGGUGUUUCAUUCUUCCAGUUGCUUGGUCCAAAAACAUAGUAGUCAUCUUUGGCUUCUCUUUCUCUCAUGCUUUAUGUUCAGUCUAUCAGGAAAUCCUGUAGAUGUAUCUUCCAAAUAUUAAUAUAUCUAAGAUCAGAUAACUUCUCACAACUACCAUGACUUUCACUCCAGUACCAGCCACCAUCUUACUGUCUUUUGACUGGGAUACUGAAGUCAGAUUUUUAAAGGUGUAAUUUGUGAACAGUGAAAUUUAUUUAUUUAUUUAGAGAUGGAGUUUCACUUUUGUUGCCCAGGCUGGAGUGCAAUGGCAUGAUCUCAGCUGAUUGCAACCUCCGUCUCCCAAGUUCAAGUUAUUCUCCUACCUCAGCCUCCCUAGUGGCUGGUAUUACAGGCGCACACCACCACACCCAGCUAAUUUUUGUAUUUUUAGUAGAGACAGGGUUUCACCAUGUUGGCCAGGCUGGUCUCAAACUCCUCCAGGUAAUCAACCCAUCUCGGCCUCCCAAAGUGCUGGGAUUACAGGUGUGAGCCACAGCGCCCAGCCAAAAUUUAUUCUAAGGGCUGCAGUUCAGUGAAUUUUGAAACUACACACACCAACUGCCACAAUCAAGGAAUAGAACAUUUCCAUCACCCAGAAAGUUUCCUCAUGCCCUUUUGUAGUCAGUCCCUCCUCUCACCCCUGCCCCUGGAAACAGAACUGUUUUUUCUCCUUUUUUACCUUUUUCCAGGAUGUCAUUUAAAUGGGAUCAUGUUUAUAAUCUUUUGAGUAUGGCUGCUUUUUUUCUUUUUAACAGAAUCUCACUUUGUAACUCAGGCUGGAGUGCAGUGGCACAAUCUUGGCUCAUUGCAACCUCCGCCUCCGGGGUUCAAACGAUUCUCCUACCUCAGCCUUCUAAGUAGCUGGGACUACAGGCGCCCGCCACCACACCCAGCUUUUUUUUUUUUCUUCUGUAUUUUUAGUAGAGACGGGGUUUUACCAUGUUGGCCAAGCUGGUCUUAAACUCCUGACUUCAAGUGAUCAGCCUGACUCAGCCUCCCAAAGUACUGGGAUUACAGGCGUGAGCCACCGCGCCCAACCGAGUUUGGUUUCUUUUACUUAGCAUCGUUCAUUUGAAAUUUAUCCAUGUUGCAUUUAUCAGUAGUUCAUACCUUUUUAUUGCUGACUAGUAAGUACUACAUUGCAUAAGAGUACCACAGUUUGUUUAUCCAUUCAUCAGUGGAUCCACAUGGGUUUCCAGCUUUUGGCAAUUCUCAAUAAAGCUGCUUAUAAACAUUCACAUUCAGGACUUUGUGGGGACAUAUGUUUUUAUUUCUCUUGGGUCAUAUGGUACGAGCAUAUUUAAUUUUGUAUGAAAUGCCGAACUGUUUUUUGGCGUUGUUUUGUUGUUGUGGUUUUAUUUUAUUUUAUUUUUUUUGAGAGAGAGUCUUGCUCUGUCACCCAGGCUAGAGUGCAGUGGUGCGAUCUCAGCUCACUGCAACCUCCACCUCCUGGGUUCAAGUGGUUCUUCUGCCUCAGCCUGUGUAGUAGCUGGGAUUACAGGUACCUGACACCACCCCCAGCUAAUUUUUGAAUUUUUAAUAGAGACGGGUUUCACCAAAUUGGGCAGGCUGGUCUCAAACUCCUGACCCCAUAUCUACCUGCCUUGGCCUCCCAAAGUGCUAGGAUUACAGGCAUGAGACACCAUACCCGGCCUUUGAUCCAUAUUUUGUAGAAUAUUCUCCCAGUCUAUGUCUUCUGUUUUCAUUUUCUUCACAGUCUCUUUCAAAGAGAGGGAUUUUUUGUUUGUUUUUUUGAGACAGAGUCUCCCUCUGUCACCCAGGCUGGAGUGCAGUGGUGCAAUCUCAGCUCACUGCAACCCCACCUCCCAGGUUCAAGCAGUUCCCCUGCCUCAGCCUCCAGAGUAGCUGGGACUGCAGGUGUGUGCCACCAUGCCCAGCUAAUUUUUGUAUUUUUAGUAGGGACGGGGUUUCACCACAUUGGCCAGGCUGGUCUUGAACUCCUGACCUCAAGUGAUUCGCCUGCUUUGGCCUCCCAGAGUACUGAGAUUACAGUUGUGAGCCACCGUGCCUGGCCAAAGAGCAAUGUUUAUUGAAGCUUUAUGGAUUUCACUUUCACAUUUAAGCUUAUGAUCUGUUUUUGCAUACAGUGUGAGGUAGUUUGUUUUGCAUAUAUACAUCCAGUUGUUCAAACACUAUUUGUUGAAAAGACUAUUCCUAGUCUGGAAUAGUCAUGCCUCUACUCCCAGAACUUUGGGAGGCUGAUCCAGGAGGAUCACUUGAGCCCAGGAGCUCAAGACCAGCCUGGGCAACAUAGGGAGACCCCCAAAAAAUAAAAAUGAAAAAUCUUAGCCAGGAGUGGUGGCACACACCUGUAGUCCCAGCAACUCAGGAUGCUGAGGCAGAUGAUCACUUGAGCCCAGGAGUUUGAACUUGCAGUGUGCUGUGAUCACGCCACUGCACCCCAGUCUGAAUAACAGAGGAAGAAUCCAUCUCUGAAACAAAAAAUGUUUUUUUCCUGUUGACUCUUUUGUUAGAAAUUCAUUGUUUAUAAAUUUAAGAAUUUUUCAAAUCUGUGUUCCAUUGAACAGUAUGUGUAUUCUUCGCUAAUUCGCACUAUAAAUACUAUAGUUUUAUAUUUUAUAGUAGUAAGUCUUUAAAUCAGUUAAUGUGAAUCCUCCAACUUUUUCCCCCCAAAAUUGCUUUAGCUAUUCUACUUCCUUUGCCUUCAUACAAAUUUUAGAACUAGCUGAUUGAUUUCUGCAGAAAGAAAUUUUGUAGUUUUCAGUCCCAUUGAUUUCUGCACUGUAUUACUUCCUUCUGUUUGCUUUGAGUUUAGUUUGCUCUUUUUUUCCAGUUCAAGGUGAAAACUUCGUUGAUUUUUAAACCUUUUUCCAUCUUCCAGUACAAUCAUUUAAUACUGUAGAUUUGCUUCUAUAAACAUUGCUUUAGCUGUCUUCCACAUAUUUUGAUAUGUUUUGUUUUCAUACUCAUUCAAUUCAAGAUAUUUUCUAAUUUUCUAUGUGAUCUCUUAUUUGACCCAUGGGAUAUUUAGAAAUGUGUUUAAUUUCCACAUAUUUGGGGAUUUCACAGAUUUUCCUUUAGGUGAUUUCUCAUUUAAUUCCACUGUAGUUCAAGAGCAUAUUUUGUAUAAUAUCAAUCCUUUUAAAUUCUUUGAGACUUAGGCUGGGCAUGAUGGCUCAUGCCUGUAUUCUCAACACUUUGGGAGGCCAAGAAAGGCAGAUCACUUGAGGUCAGGAAUUCAAGACCAGCCUGGCCAACAUGGUGAAACCCUGUCUCUACUAAAAAUGCAAAUAUUAGCUAGGUGUAUACCUGUAGUCCCAGCUUCUUGGGAGGCUGAGACAGGAGGAUCACUUGAACCCGGGAGGUGGAGGGUGCAGUGAGCCAAGAUGGUGCCUUUGCACUCCAGCCUGGGCAACGGAGUGAGACUUGUCUCAAAAAAAAAAAUUAUAUGAAACUUGUUUUUAUGGGCCAGUCUGGAAAAUGGUUCACUUAUGGUGUUUACCAUUAGCUCUUGGAGGGUGCAUUUUGAUUCAUGAUACAACUUAAUGAUCCCAGCUGAGGCUGGGGGUACAAGACAAGUUGAGAUAGGGAGUGUUGUAAAACGGUUUAGGGCAUGACCUUUGGAUCUAGAACCAGACUGCCUGGGUUGGAAUGCUAGUUCUUCUUCCUUGAAGCUGUGAAGCUCUGUGACCUUGGCCAAAUCAGUUCAUCUCUCUCUGCUUUAGUAUCCUCAUCUCUGGAGCUGAUAGUAAAGGUAUGUUCCUUAGGGAGAUAUUGAAAAUCUGAAAUGAGAAACAUGUAAACAGCUUGUACAAUGUCUGGCAACGCAGUAAGAGCCCCCAAAGUAUUCGCCAUUGUUAUUGCUCCUGUUAUUAUGGCAGCAGUUCUAUUUCUUGGUCUCACGGGCCUUUCAGAUAAGCUUUGUCUGGCUACUUGGAUAGUUUUUAAAGGAUUAGUUCCCUUAUUUUUCAUGUUUAUUAUGUACAGAAGUUCAGAUAACUUUCAUUUGGGUGUUUGUGGUCCCCCUGCAUAGGGGAAAACAGAAGUUGGAAAAAUCUUUAAAACCCACACUUUCAAAAUACUGUGAUUUAAACUCUAACCAAGAAUUUGACUCCUGCUAGUUUUCAGAUUUCCUCUGAAAACAUUCUCAGGCUUGGCAGAAAGGGAGGAGGAUAGAGUCCAGCACCCUUUAUAGCUACCAAAUAACAAUAAUUUUUUCCAAUGUAUGACUUUAAAAUUUUGAUACUCAUUUUUAUGAAUGUACCAAUUUUGUUAGGAUUGAUUAGAAAAUUUAUAAAUCAGCCAGGGCAUCUCAUUUUUAUUUCAGUUUCUAUUGGUUUUUUUUUCCCCUCCUGGAGUCCAGGACAGGACAGCAGGACUCCAGAUGAAAACUCCAUUGGGCCCGGUGCGAUGGCUCACGCCUGUAAUCCCAGCACUUCAGGAGGCCGAGGCAGGUGGAUCACGACGUCAAGAGAUCGAGACCACCUUGGUCAACAUGGUGAAACCCCGUCUCUACUAAAAAUACAAAAAAUUAGCUGGGCAUGGUGGUGCAUGCCUGUAAUCCCAGCUACUCAGGAGGCUGAGGCAGGAGAAUUGCCUGAACCCAGGAGGCGGAGGUUGCGGUGAGCCGAGAUUGCGCCUUUGCACUCCAGUCUGGGUAACAAGAGCGAAACUCCGUCUCAAAAAAAAAAAAAAAAAACAAAAAAAACCUCCAAGACAUCGUUUGAUGUCAGUCUUUUUAGAGAAGCAAAAGGGAAGCUAAAGAUCAAAGACCUUAGUCAUUGAUCCUUUGUAUAUGCUUCUGAAAAAUAAGGAUAUUAAAUAUUCUUGUUGUUGCUAAGGCCAGAAGAAUCUUCUUCAGACAGCUGAGUGUCUGCUCUCCGGAGAGAGUUUGCACAGAGAGACUCUUACCACUGAACAGGUUUCUCCUGUCUCUGUUCAUCUAUUUCCUCAUAUGUAAAUUAGGGUAAUAAAAGUUACCUAUCUCAGAGGGUGAUAAAGUUUCAUAUCAUGGCACUGGGCACAUAAUGAAUAUUUAACAAAUAUUUGCUGUUAUUGUGGUUGUUAUUUACGUUUAGUUUUUGGAUAGAGAGGCCUGUAAUCCCAACACUUCGGGAGGCUGAGGUGGGCAGAUUACUUGAGGUCCAGAGUUCAAGAGUAGCCUGGGCAACAUUUUUACUAAACCCUGUUUCUACUAAAAAUACAAAAAAAUUAGCUAGGCAUGCUAGCACAUGCCUGUAAUCUAGCUAGUCAGGAGGCUAAGGCAGGAUAAUCUCUUGAACCCGGGAGUCAGAGGUGGCAGUAAGCCAAGAUUGUGCCACUGGACUCCAGCCUGGGUGACAGAGUGAGACUCUGUCUCAAAAAAAAAAGAGCUUCCAAAGUAUGUGCUAUGGGACAUAAGACCUGUUAAGUGCUAUAAGAAAAAAGAGGAAGAGAAAAAGGAUAACUUUCAUGGGAAAAUAUAUUAUGAGCUUCGUAAAGCUCUCUAUUUAAGCCAGAAAAAAGUAGGGAAAUUAAUCGUGCUUAGCUAAGCACUUACCAAACCUACUUGUCCAUCACUGCUUUUAAGUUGCUGAAGGAACUUUUGUUUUGUAGAAUCUGCUUGGGAAACACUAAGAAUUUUCUUUAUCGAUACUAAAGUUUUCCAGACGUUAGCCUAUUGGCAUCUUUAUGUUUUAAGGCAUUAGCCCAGCCAUUACUACCUUUGUCUCAACCAUUUCUGUUCCCUCUGAGUCACUAAAUCUUUAGUGUAAUCAAAGCACUUUAAUGCUGGCCUCCUAAAGAAUUUUGCCUGCUUUCCAAAUGAGGAUGGAUGAGACCAAGGGGGAACUUGGAAUUUAAAUACGACCUUAGUGUAAACAUGUAUUUAUAACAUAAGGGAAAAACAGCGACAAAGUCUUUUUCAAGGGGUUGUGGCACUUGCAUUACAUGACUGUUGUACAACAAAUUGCCUUUUACAUUGAGCUGAUGUGUAGUAGCCAUGUUUAACAUGGUGCAACUAGAAUUCUGCACAGAUUCUGAAGUCAGUCUCCCCUGUAGAAUUGUUAAUAAUUUUCCUUACUCUUCUCAUUGACUCAUUCCUCGGUUGAAGAAUUUAUAGUGAGUCCCAUGACCAUAGUAACGUAACUUGUUAUUAACACUCUGCCUACUAGAUCACAUUCAUUCAGGCUGGGGGCGGUGGCUUACACCUGUAAUCCCAACACUUUUGGGAGGCCAAGGUGGACAGAUUACUUGAGGUCAGGAGUUUUAAGACCAACCUGAGCAACAUGGUGAAACCCUAUCUCUACUAAAAUAAUUAACCAGGCAUGGUGGCAGGUGCCUGUGAUCUCAGCUACUUGGGAGGCUGAGGCAGGAGAAUCGCUUGAACUGGGGAGGCGGAGGUUGCAGUGAGCGGAGAUCACGCCGGUGCACUCUAGCCUGGUCAAUAGAACGAGACUGCAUCUCAAAAAUAAAAAAGGUAACAUUCAUUGAGAGCUUAACCUUAUAAGAUAUAUAUCAUCACCCUCAUUUUACAGGUGAGAACAUUGAACACUAGAGAGGCUAACUUGCCUAAGGUCACAUGGUUUGCAAAGGACAGAGUCAGCAUUUGCUGCAGAGGCUGUGUCCUUAACGGUUCUGUAUCACAAGGCACUUCUGUCUGUUCUGCAUGUUUCAUUAGCCUUGUUCUCUUUAUUGUCUUAGGUGUUGCUCCCUCUCAAGCUGGCCUAAUUUGGGACGUUUCCAACUUCUUACCGUUCUAUGUGCCAUUUUUUUGUGCUUAAAAUACAUCCUUUUUCUUUUUUUUUAACCAGUCUUCUGAGAAAGCUUCCGUAGUUUACCUUGCCCAGCUCUUGAUGUCUUUCUUUGGAUCUUGGCUCAUUUCCACAGUGCUUAGAUAGUCAUUAUUCUUUGAAAGGAAUUUAGGUGCCUCUUUUUUUUGUGUUUAAGAUGGAGUCUCCCUUUGUUGCCCACACUGGAGUGCAGUGGUACGAUCUUGACUCACUGUAACCUCUGCCUCCCAAGUUCAAGCGAUUCUCUUGCCUUAGCCUCUUGAAUAGCUGGGAUUACAGGUGCCUGCCACCAUUCCCGGCUAAUUUUUUUUGUAUUUUUAGUAGAGAUCGGGUGCUGGGAUUACAGGCGUCCUUUUUAUAUGUUAACUCAAUAUAGAGAAUUUCUAUCAAUAAUUUUACUAAAAUAGGUGAUUAUUUCAUGAAACCAAUUCUUAAUUUAAGGACAUUUCAGCUUAGGAUACUUUCCACUCUUCCCUUGUCUUUGAACCGACUGAACAUAGCUUCUUUAUGUCAUACUGAAGAACUAACUCUGCAUCUUGUUAUAUGGAGAUGAUUGAGACCUGCUGGCAUGAGUACGUUCAUAAAACCUCAUCCUCUGCUUCAGCUUGUUAUUGCUUAUCCAACCUUUCUGGUCUCAGUAGAGAAGGUAUUAUUUCUCCUUUCUAAAGCUAAUCCUUUUUGUUUUCUGUAGAAUCUUGCCUGCAUAGUCAUUUCCCUCCUCCUCUGGUUAUCAUUUAUCUUUUCCUCUCUAAGAAGGUCUAUUUUUCCUGUCUUCAGAAUGGAAGAAGUCCCCCCACCCCCCCACCAUCCUUAAAAACCUGUAAACAAAGUCACUCUGUUGACAUUGCCAUUCAAUUUCUCUCCUAUCUUCUGUUCAGCUUCUGUAGAAAAUUACAUAAACUCACUAUUCCCACUUUCUCUUUACCUGCAAUUCUGUUGAAACUGCUGUAAAAGAUCACUUGUAAUCUCUGUUAAAUCAAAUAGCCUACUCUCAGCCCUCAUGUUCUUCUGCUGAUGUUGAGAGGGGUAAUGUGGUGUAAUAGAAGCAUGGACUGUUGGAGCCAUACCUACUCACAUUCUGUUUUUGUCACUUUCUGUCCAUUUAACCUUGGGCAGCUUUCUUGUAUCUUGCUGCCCCAGUUUGCUCAGCACAUGUUCUCAGCAUUUAACUGUUUCUUGUUGUAUCCCCAAAAUGAUCUUUUCUCAGCUCUCAUCUCUCCCUGUAGUAACUCCUUAUUUCCUUAUAACAGAGUCAGCUGUUCAGGAGAGUGAAACCGAAGAUUGAGUGCUGAAAGGAAAUGUUUUACUAUCAAAGAGAGAACCCAGUCCAGUACAGAGUGGAGGCUCUGGGAGAUGAGGUUUGAAGGAGGGAAAAAUGGAUAGGUCUUCUAAAGUGAAAAGACAGCUGAGCUCCUCAGUUCCAUAUUAGGAAGGUGGAGUGUCUGGAUGUUGCUGAUUGGUGGUGCUGUUUGGGCUUGCUGUUAAGUAAGCUUUAGCCCAGGUGGUGGUGAUCUGUGUCAAGGGUUCUGCCUCAAGUUGGGACUUCUAACUGCCUCUGCUACAUACAUGAGUGCCUAAAUUGGUAUUUUGGUGCCCAGAUAAUCCACCACUGUUAGUAGGCAAGGUAGGUAGGUCUAGGUUUGAGUUUGUCAUAACCCAUGGAAAUUUUGACUUUUGCCCUGCUUUUAUUCUCUAUCCAGUGAGUGUGUCAUCGGAGAUAGACACACUGGACAAAGAGAGGUCCCAUUAAUUCUUUUAAAAGACAGUUUGUGACUAUAGCACCUCCUCUUUCCACUUCUUACUAACCUAGGCUUUAUCACCUCAUGCCUAGAUUGUCCUAAGAAUCUUACUUGUUCUCCUGGCUUCUAGUCUCUUCUGCCCACUUUAUCUACACUGAAUAUUUCUGCCUGAUUAAUCUUCCAAAAAUAUUAUAUCACUCUUAUGAUUUAUACUCUACUAGUGAAUAAAAGUAAUGUUUUCAGGUGACAUUAAAAUUCCAGCAAAUCAAAUCCUGCUGACAAACCCUGACUUGAACUACACCAUAAUUUAACACCUCUGUAAGCAGAAGCUGACCUUGCAGAUAGUCUCUCUGGAAUUCCACUCUUGCCUAAGACAAGUGACACUUGCUCCUGUUGAUAUUUCUGUGUACCUUUGCCCUGUUCCUGGAGGGUUAAGAUCAUGACCUUUAUUCUUUUUGGAUUUGUUUUUUCGCCUCCACUCUCUUUUCGCUCUACCAAGCUAAACUCCUUUGAGGUGCUCAAGAAACAGAUGCUCUUUAGUGUUUCAUAACUCACAGGAAAAUUUUUCUCUGAAUACGUCAGGUCUGUUGGAUAACAAAUUCAUUUAACUGAAUUGGAGCUGCUUUUGCCAUAAUCUCCUUUUUAGUGUGUUACACUUGUUUUUCCCAACUAAAUAAUUGACUGGAUUGUAUAGUUUUUCAAUUAUUAAUCUAGUAAAACCUUUUUAAAGUUUGUGAAAAUUGUUCUGGAUCAAACUGACCUCAUUUAAGUUUGGAUCUCUUCUCUCUCUUUUUUUUUUUUUUUUUGAAUGAGUUUAAGGUGUUAGUAAUUAAGAUUCUAUUUGUGUUUCUAAAUAUAAUGACUAUCCAGUAGACUUAAGGUAGCAUCAUAUAAGGAAAGGCACACUGAGAGAGGGACUGGAGAUGGGGGAAUGUCUACCCUUUAACAUUUGUCCCAUUCCAUCUGCAAUUAAGCUUUCUAGAAAUGUCUUGUUACAGUAGCUUCUUAAAUGUUUUUAAAUUGUCUUUUCAAGUGAAUAGGGCUUGGAAGUUUGUGACUGUUUCCUGUGUGAAAAACAAUGUCAAAAGUUUUAAGAAUACCAGGCAUGGUUCACGCCUGUAAUCCCACCAUGUUGGGAGGCCAAGGCUGAAGGAUCACUUGAGCCUAGGAGUUAAAGACCAGCCUAGGCAAUAUGGCGAAACCCUAUCUUUACAAAAAUUACAAACAAAAAAAUUAGCCUGGUGUGGUGGCAUGUGCCUAUGGCCCCAGCUACUUGGGAGGGUGAGGUGCGAGGAUCACUCGAGCCCAAGGAGGUGAAGGCUGCAGUGAGGUGUGAUCACGCCACUGCACUCCAGCCUGGGCGACAGAGUGAGACCCUAUCUCAGAAAAAAAAAAAAAGAAAGAAAAAAAAGGUUUAAGAAAACCAUUGUUAUUUAAAUUGGGCUCUUUGAAAAGUAAAUUCUACUAUAAAACUUAUUCGUAGUAUUAUUUGUUAAAUUCUGUAUCUAACUGCAGAACACAAGCUUUUGGUAUUUAGUAUAAGUGAAAAACAGCUAGAUCAGACAUCACAAACACUUCUUUGUCUUUUGCUAACGUGUCCACCAGAAUCCUAUGUUCCAUUAAAAAAGUUUUUAGCCAUUGCACUCCAGCCUGGGUAACAAGAGUGAAACUCUGUCUCAAAAAAAAAAAAAGUUUUUAGUCUUAUUUUAAAAACUCAAAUCACACAAAAAUGUAAGAUAGUCCCAUUUUUAAUACAGGUAGUUUUGUGAUAUAUAGGUCUUCAACUUUCUUCUUCCUAACAAUUUUUUAUUCUUUUAAAUUUCUUUGUGAUAGAGUAAAUUAUACAAACAAAACACAGUGACUGUCAUAAAAUAAAUAGGUUAAUUCACCCUACUCUAUUUCGGUUUUUUCAUCUGUACAAAAUGGAUAUCAUAAUGGAAAGCACUUAGGACAGUGCUAGACACAUUACUCAUAAAAGAUUGCUGUUACUGCUUGGAAGAGGAAAUCAUCAGCCUAUAUAGAUGAUAACUAAAGACACGAGAGUAGACAGUAUUGCCCAGAGAUGAGGUGUGGAGUAAGAAGUAAAAAGAGCUGAUGACAGAACCCUGAUGGGCAGAGGAAAAGGAGAAGGGGUUAGGUGCAGAGAGCAGGCAAGAAAUCCAGUAGGAUGUCAUGGGAGCUGGAUUAAAAUUGUUUCAAGAAAAGAUAGUGGCUGCAGUUGACAGCUCCUGCAAGCGGGGGAAUACCAGGUAAGAUCCUGACUGAAGUGUUACUAGAUUAAGCAACAGUAGGAUUGUUGAUGGUCUUGGGGAGAGUAAAUUCCAUAGAGUGUUGGGGAGAGAAGGCAUAGUGUGUCAAGGAGAUACCAGUGAAGACAACAAAUACAGCCAGAUCCCCAGGUUUGGUAGCCCUAUAUGAACUGGCCUUUCUUCCUUUGGUUCUCUGUCCUCCUCUUCCCCCAUCCCACCCCUACCACGAACAUACUCUCCAUCUCUCACAGACACCUUUGGGAAAUAUGCUCUCGUUCUUGCUUUUUCUUUCUGUCUCUUGCACUUAUGCUCACUCUUGCUCCCUCCUCUCUACCCCAACUGAACUGCUUGACUACUUUGUGAUCUCCCAGCAGGUCACACUGUCAAAUAGGCCUCCUUGCUGAGUUCCUGCACCUGUCUGUGCCAUGGCUUAAUUUGGUAACUUGUUUACUUCUUUUGUCUCCCUAUUAGGCAAUUCCUGGUGGGUGGCAGGGGCUGAGUCUUUAUCAUGGAGUGCCAGUACCUAGCACAGUCUCCAUGAUGUGGUGAUACAUAAGAGAGGAUGGAACAGUGACCAGAGGCAUUUAUUCUAGUUGGAGCUUGUAACAGACAUUAGAUACUGCAAGAUGAUGGAGUGAUUGGUUUGUAUUUUAGAUGUGUUGAAUUGGCUGGGCUCAGUGGCUCAUGCCACCCAGCACUUUGGAGGCCAAGGCUGCAGAUCAUGAGGUCAGGAAAUUGAGACCAUCCUGGUUAACAUGGUGAAACCUCAUCUCUACUAAAAACACAAAAACUUAGCCGGGCAUGGUGGCACUCACCUGUAGUCCCAGCUACUCAGGAGGCUGAGGCAGGAGAAUCUCUUGAACCCAGGAGGAGGAGGUUGCAGUGAGCUGAGAUCGCACCACUGCACUCCAGCCUGGGGGACAGAGUGAGAUUCUGUCUCAAAAAACAAACAAACCAAAAAAAACAGAUAUGACUGUAGCAUAUGCAGGUAGAAGUGUGCCCCGGAGGCAUUGGAGACUUGCUACUGAAAGUCAGUGUGUCUUAGAAAUCCCUGCUUGCUCUGGGACUCAAGAAACUUUCCUUUUUCAACUUUUUCAUCAUCCCAGACAGAAACUGUAGUUUGUCCUGAUAGUAAUGGAUGAACUGUGAUUUAAACUGUUAGGCUCCUGUUUGCUUGUCCAUAGAACUGGAUUUGUCACUAGGAGAGUUUAGUUAGUCCCCUGGAAAUAACUAAAUGUCAAUCUGUAGCAUUCAUUUUUUUAAGUCAUUGGAGAUUUUCUUCUUGAAGUCUAGAUUUUGGAAUUGUAUGGAUGCUUUUAAAAGAUUUUGUUUCUAGAAUCGUUUCUAAAGCUAUAAUCAGCAUUAAAUGGCAGGGAAUAACCUUUUAAUGAAACUGAUACAGUAAAAACCAGUACUGUUACAGGUUAAUAUAAAAAUUGUUAUUGUAAAAUGUAUAACCAGCAACAUACUGUGGCUCCUGUGUUAAACACUGCAGUAUGUUAUGUAUAACAUAACAUACAAAUUAAAAUUUACCAUUGAACUGUUUCUAAGCAUACAGUUCAGUAGCAUUAAGUACUUUCACUUACGUUCUGUGCAACCAUCACCACCAUUUCUAGACCUUUUCCAUCAUCCCAAACAGAAACUCCGUAUGCAUCAAACAAAAACUGCCCAUUCCCCUUCUCUCCAGUUCUGGCAUCUGCUAUUCUGCUUUUUCUUCCUAUGAAUUUGCCUAAUCUAGGUCCAUCAUAGAAGUAAAAUUAAAACAAUAUUUGUCAUUUUGUCUCUGGUUUAUUUCACAAGGCAUCAUGUUUUUGAAGUUCAUUUAUGUUGUAGCAUAUAUCAGAAUUUUCUUCUUUUUUGAGGCCGAAUUUGAUGGGAUGGCUGUAUCACAUUUUGUUCAUUUCAUUCACCGAUAGACACUUGGGUUGCUUCCACCCAACCCAUCCCAUUAUUCACAACCCAUUAUUCAAGCUAUUGUGAAAAUUGGUGUAUAAGUAUGUUUGAGUCCUUGCUUUCAGUUAUUUGGGGCAAAUACCUAGCCUUUAUUAAGUUUUUUGAGCACACAUCCUGAGAGGGUAGAUAUUCAGUAGCAUUUUUCUUACGAAAUGAUCAUUUCAACCAGCAUGUUAACACAGAUUUUUGCACUUGUACAAGGUACAAGUAGUAAACAAAAUAGUUACUUAAGGCUGGACUCAGUUACCAAAUUAAGGAGAUUUACUUACCAUUUUAAGGAGAUUUAUUUUGUACAAGUUCUAAAGCAGUCUUGGACUGUGAUACAAAGAUAUCUUCAAAAGCUGCGUUAUAACUUUUUUCUGUAACUGAGUCCCUUGGCCAAAUAAAAAUGCGUAAACCACUUUAUCCAGCUUGUACCUAUUGGCUUUGUCUGAGGAAACCAGUUGCCUAAUUUUUUUCCCUGCCUUAUGUUUGUUACAGCCAGUAUAGGGCUGUUUCCAGCUGCACUGUUUAACACAGGAGCCACAGUAUGUUGCUGGUUGUGUGCUCAAAUCAUGAUAAAAUGUGCAUGCUUUUGAAACUAUAAUGUGAGAACCCGUCUUAGAAGAUAAUUCGUAGGAAAAAGUUAAAGCAUAUUGCCAUCAAAGCCUUUAAUGUCUUCUUUCUGUUUGACCCCCCCUCCACUCCCCCCAUAAAUCCUUUCUUAUCUGUCCUAGGCAAUAAGAUGUAUUUGAAAAGAAAAUUACUCCAGAUUAUCUUUACUGCCUUGAAGACUAAUACCUUUCUUUUGUAUGAAUUCGCCCAGUCAGCAGAUUUUGUAUCUCUGAUGGAAGUAAUCAUUUUUUCAUUGUACUAGUUUUGAUAAAAUAUAAAAUAUUAACAGGUAGUGUAUUUUAUAUAUGUUCUUCCCAUGAAGUAUUUUGUGAUAAUGCAGGGAUAAUAUUUUGAUAUAUUUGUGGAGAUGGGGUCUCCCUAUGUUGCUUAGAUAGGUCUUUUGAACUACUAGGCUCAAGCGGUCUUCCUGCCUCAGCCUCCCAAAGUGUUGGGAUUACAGCUGUGAGCCACUGAGUCCAGCCUUAAGUAACUAUUUUGUUUACUACUUGUACCUUGUACAUAAAUGGUUAAAUUUAAUGUAUUAAAUUUGUAUUUAAUAAGAUACCUAUUCUGUUACUAAGCUUGGAAUUCAUCUUUGUUUUUUUUCCUUUAAAAUAUGGGGAAAUGUGGAAGAGAAUUAUUGCAAACGUUAUAAUGUUAGACUAAUUUUUUUUAAGAUAAGGAUACAAAUUGAGUUCUAUUUCAGUAUAUUUCCAUAAAGGGAAAAACAAGCAUUUCUUUAGGCAUGGAAUACAAGUCAUUUUUUUUUUAAGAGAUAGGGUUUCACUGUGUUGGCCAGUCUUGUCUCAAACUCCUAACCUCGUGAUCCACCUGCCUUGGCCUCCCAAAGUCUAGGCAUGAGUCACCACGCCUGGCCGCAUAUAAGUUUUAAAUCUGAAAUUUUGGAUAGCAAAAAAAUUCUAACAACUUUUGGUGUUUUGUGAUCUGUACGAAUUACAUGUGAGAAGGUGUUUGCAUACCCAGAGCUUGUGGGUACAGGUAGAAGGCCAGGAGUUUCCAAAAUGUGGCUCAUGGACCAUGGGUGAUUCCUGAGACCCUAUCGUGGAGUUUAUAGGGUCAGACUGUUUCAUAAUACUACUAACAUUAAUUGUCUUUUUCAUUUUUGCACCUUUUUUCUCAUGGUGGCAAAGCAGUGGAGCGGGGGUAAAACCUCUGGUGCACCAUCACCUGAAUCAAGGCAUUGGCACCAGGCAGUACUGGUAAUCAUGGUAUUUCUCCACCACCAGGCACAUGCCAUUUACUCUUAGAAUAUUCUUGAUGAAGCAGUAAAAAUUUCUUUUGUUAAGUUUCAGCCCUUGAGUACACUUCGUUAAAAAUUUCCACAAAGCACUUCUACUGUAUACAAAAGUACAUUGGUUAGCUUAAGAAAACCACGUAUGCAGUCAUUUGAGAUGCUAACUGUACUAAAUUUUUUUAAAAAUCGGAAUAUCAUUUCUACUUGAAAGAAUGACUGAUGGACAUAUUUGGGAGAUAGUUUCUCAAAAACCGAAUAAAGUGAGCCUGUCACUUAAAGGGAAAAGAAGUGUUUUUACCAGUGAUAAAGUUUGAGCUUUCAAGUUAACAUAUAAUUUUUGAAAAUUUGUAUUUACCACCAUAAGCCCCAAGAAUGAUACUAACAUACGAUUUUUCAGAUACUAUAUAAUGAAAAGAGACAACAUCUGGAGGAGUGGCAUAACUCAGCAAAUCAAUACCUUCCAGAUUACCAGUGCAUGUUACAAAAUCAUCCAUGGGUAAUACGUUCACACAGAGUUCAGGAUCAUCCAGUGGAUUUUAAUGUACUAUAGUAAAAUCCAAAAAGAUCCAUUGAUUAAUUUCAAAUUCCACAUUGCAGUAAACCUUUAAGAAAUCGCCACUUGUUGAAUUUAAUGUGGUAUCAAAGAAGAAUAUUGAUAGUUAUCUGAAAAGGCUAUUAAGUACUCCUUCUUUUCCAACUAUCUAUCUGUGUAAAGCUGGAUUUUUUUCCCCUAUAGAGUUGAGUUCAUGCAACAUAUGGUGGUAGAUGGAAUGCAGAAGCCGAUAUGAGAAUCCAGCUAUCUUCCAUUUAAGCUAGACAUUAAAGAGGUUUGCAAACAUGUAAAGAAUGUCCCUUGUCUCAAUUUUUGUUUGUUUGGGAAAUAUCUGCCCUUUUAAAAAUGUUAUUUAUGUUAACAUGUAAUGGUUUUAUUAUAUAUAAAUUAACAUUUUAACUUUUUCUCGGUUUUAAUUUCUAAUAUAGUAAAUAUCACUAACCCACAUGUACUAAAGCUCUUUGCGAGUCCUCGGUUUUAAGAGUGUAAAUUGUUGUGCAACCACGAAGUUUGAGAAGUGCUGGUCUAAGGCAGUGUCUGUGCAGUACUAGCAUAGUAGUUGCUUGGUUUUGGGGUGGACAAGAAUGCUUUCAUUGUAUAGCUGGAAGGCUGUCACAUAGAACACGUCACAGAACAGUACUCUCUGUGUCUCAGUUUGGCAUGAUUUUUAGCAGGCUAUGUGUUAGAAGCACUUGCUGGUAAAGCAGCUAGAAAUAGAUGUUCAACUGUCAAGCACUUACUAAAAUCCAGCAUGGUUCUGAAAAUCUUAGGGUUUAGAGUUUAGUCUUUUAUAUGAGAGACAUUUAGCUCUUUGUCUGUUAAGGUAAAGGUUUGGAGGAAUGUAGUUAAAGAAUUAGUGGUCUUUGUAAUGAAUUUAUAAAAUAUUUCAACUGAACAGCUGGCCUGUACUGUUAUAUCACUUGACAGAGACUUCAAGUCUGUUUUCAAUACAUUUGGCUAACCUGAUUUUGGCAUGUCUUAAACGCAUGUAUUUAGUUUCUUUCUGUGUUUCAGUAAGAACUCCUUUAUCUCAGUAGUUCCUGUCUUUCAUGUCCAUCCAGAGCCUCUGGGAACAGACACCUCAGUAGGAGGGCCUGAAGAGUGACACGUUUCUGUUGAUGCUUUGGUAGAGUCUGAGAUGUAGGAUGGGGAGAGACUGUGAAAUAAGAUUGUUGGGCUUUGAUUUCCUAUUAUUGGUCAAACUUGCCCACCCUUUUUCCUUGGAAUACCUUUUCUUCCCUGCCUACUCCAUUUAUCAUAGUCUUACCCCAGAGCCCCAAACCCCAGCUCCUGUAGUAAAAUCUAUGUGUAUUUCUGAAGUACUGAUGAAGGCUUUCAUUCUUUUUGUGGGCAAAGAGCAGAACAGAGGAUGAUACAAGAGGGGCCUUCUUCCUCCCUGUCAUUACCAGCAGUGAAAACCUUCAGAUAUUUUUGAAACCGCUCUGUGCUCAUUUUUAUGAGUGUAUAGAGUAGGUGAAAAGUGAGCCCACUUCAGGAGACCAAGGGCAUAAACAAAUAUUGGAUAAAGCAGUCUAGCAGAGGGAAAAUAAAGAGUUCGUAAGUUAGCCUUAGGGCUGGCCACAGUUUUUAAACAGACCCACAAGAAGAAUUUCCCAUGGGUUGAAUAAACCAACCAGAGUUGCUAGACAAGGUAAGAUGAUGGCAUAUAUGUCUGCUGGUAUAAUAUAAGAUUUAUAUUAAGCCAUUUUUAAAUCUGUAAAUAUUGGGUGAUUAAAAGAGGAAAAUAUCAGUUUCAGUCACCUGGAAACAGGAUCAUCUUUGGCAGUGCCUAUUUACCUGUAUUAUGGCAGUGAUGAGCAAAAUGAAAGAUGGAAAGAGUAUUUUUGGUAAUAUUUCUCUUUUUUGAAAGCAAAACACAAUAUAAAAAUACAGGCUCUUUUUUUUUUCUUUUUAAGACAGGAUCUUCCUCUAUCACCCAGGCUGAAUCAAGUGCAGUGGCACGACCAUAGCUCACUGCAGCCUCAAACUUGUGCGCUCAGGGGAUCCUCCUACCUCAGCCUCCCAAGUAGCUGGAUCUAUAGGAGCACCCCACUGUGCCUAGCUGGUUUCUUUCUUUCUUUCUUUCUUUCUUUCUUUCUUUUUUUUAAUAGAGUCGGCAUCUCAUUUUGUUGUCCAGGUUGGUCUUGAACUCCUGGGCUCAAGCAAUCCUGCCACCUCAGCCUGCCAGAGUGCCAGGAUUACAGGCAUGAGCCACCAUGCCAGGAAUACAGGUGUGAGCCACCACACCCAGCCAAAACCUAGACCCUUGAAAAAUAAAAAUUAAUUGGGCCUUCAAGUUUAUCUGGGCCCAAAGAGGAUUUUAUGGAUACUAGAAAGAUAUGAAGGAUUGCCCAAGGAGGAUUACAUAGCUAGUUACUGUAUAAUUACAGAUAGAAACUUCAGUUUGUCAUUCAGUUUUGGGCAGAUAUUGAAGUCAAUUUGGGAUACUCUGGAAUUAGGCCACCUAAGAUCAGAAGUGCAUCUGGCUUUUGAUCUUAAAAAAACGGUAAUAAUCACAGAGAUUAACAGUUCUCCAAACCCCAAAAUGAAAACUCAGAGUUUUUCUCUAAUUCAUUUGGCAGCAAAACCUGGCCUAAAUUGAUAUGAGGCUAUUUAUUAUCUUUAUUUAUCCUGUUUAGUGUGAAUAUUCAUGUUUUACUACAGAAAUAUUAGUAUUUGAUUACCAAUUACUGCUCCAGACUGCAAUGGGGGUGUUUUCUUUGUAAAACUCCCCAAAAUUCUGAAUCGUAUUUGUUCUCGAGGCAUUAUUUUUGGAUAAGGACUUAUAGACAUGUACUUACCUUGUAAAAUGAUGUGAGAAUUAAAUGCUUAGUAAAAUGUUAGGUAUUACUGCUAUUAACCACUAAUAUAAGUCUAGAACCCCAGUUUUGAAAUGUAGCAUGAGUAUCUUUCUAUAGAGAUGUAUGUCAGUGCUGUCCACUAGAACUUUUCAUGAUGAUACAAAUGUCUUUAUUUGGCCAUCCAAUACAGUAGCCACUAGCUAUAGAACACUUGAAAUGCAAUCAGUGCAACUGAAAAAAUUUUAAUUUAAGUAUAAAUAGCCACAUACGGCUGGUGGCUGCUUUAUUGAACAGCACAGUUUGGUAUAAUUCGAGUUCAUGUUCCAUUCAAACUUUAGUUUUGCUGUCUUUGUAGUCACUACUAAGAAUACAAUGUGGACCCAGCAGAUUAUUUAUUAGCUAAGACAGCUAUUAAUACUAAGAGAGGAAGAACUUCAUUUUUGUUUUGGUUUGUUUGUUUUGAGUUGAAGUUUUGCUCUGGUGCCCACGCUGUAGUGCAAUGGUACGAUCUCAGCUCACUGCAACCUCUGCCUCCUGAGUUCAAGUGAUUCUUCUAUCUCAGCCUCCCGAGUAGCUGCGACUACAGGCAUGCGCCACCAUGCCUGGCUCAUUUGUUUUAUAUUUUUGUAGAAACAGGGUUUCACCAUGUUGGCCAGGCUGGUCUUGAACUCCUGACUCAAGUAAUCCACCUGCCUUGGUCUCCCAAAAUUCUGGGAUUAUAGGCAUGAACCACCGUGCCCAGCCGCAAGAACUUGUUUCUAAGUACAUCCUAGGCUUAGCCUCAGCUAAUAUUUCCUUCUGUCUCCAGGGCUUUUUAAAGACAUAAUGGUAAAGGGUACACAUUUCUCCUUGAACCUGACUAAGGCAACCUGUAAUGACCUCAACUUAGGUAAUUAAUAAAAUAUAAUGCAUCUACGCCAAAAAGUCCCUAGUCUUAGAGAAUUCAAGUGGCAGAAAUUUCCCUGGUAAAUGGGGAAAAAGAAAACUUCAUUACGAAGUUGUUGCCGGAUGUCAACAUGUUUCUGCCAACAUGUUCACGUUUGUUAAACAGAUGUUAUUUUCCAAAAGUAAUUUCUGUAUACGUCUAAAAUGUAAUAUGAUGUGCAAUAUCGAUGUUUUUGUAACUCCCCUAGACUAGAUAGGAGUUGUCAGGGUACAUCUGCUAAAGUGCAAGAUGCAAUCAGUGCAACUGAAUUUUUUUCUAAUGUCAUUUCACAAGGGAUUGAAUGUUCACCAGCAUGAUGUGUAUAUUAUCUUUACCUGUGGGAUUCCAUGUUUUUGCCUUUGAUAAAAGGUUGUUAGCAGUGUCCCUAUCUUCAUUAAAUAUUAAAUUGACUUUAAAAAGGAGGCAUGGAGCCGGAUGCCAUGGCUCACACUUAAAAUCUUAGCACUUUGGGAGGACAAGGCUGGAGGAUCACUUGAAGCUAGGAGUUUGACACUAGUCUGGGCAACUUAGCAAGCCCCUUGUCUCUACAAAAUUUAAAACUAAAAAAAUUAGCCAGGCAUGGUGAUGCACACCUGUAGUCCCAGCUACUGGGGAGGCUAAGAUGGGAGGUUUGCUUAAGCUUCUGAGUUCAAGGCUGUAGUGAGCUGUGAUCAUGCCACUGUGCUCUAGCCUGGGAUGCAGAGCGAGACUCUGUCUCUUUAAAAAAAAAAAAAAAAAACAGAGGCAGGCCAGAUGCGGUGGCUCAUGCCUAUAAUCUCAGCACUUUGGGAGGCCAAGGUGGAUGGAUCAUGAGGUCAUGAGAUCGAGACCAUCCUGGCUAACAUGGUGAAACCGUGUCUCUACUAAAAUACAAAAAUUAGCUGGGUGUGGUGGCACUUGCCUGUAAUCUCAGCUAUUCGGGAGGCUGAGGCAGGAGAAUUCCUUGAACCAGGGAGGAAUUUCAGUAAGCCGAAAAUGAAAUGAAACAGAGCUAGACUUUGUUUCGUAAAAUAAGGGGGGUGGGUAGAGAGAGAGAGGGGCAGACAGGCAUGGGCAAAGGCCUCCAUUUAUUUCUACUGAGGUGUUAGAAACAACAAUCUAACUUCCUAAUUAGAAAGUUAAAUAAGAUGAAAGCAUGUAAAACAUUGAGUUAUUGCUGUUGUUAAGGACUCAAAAUGGGAAUGUUGAGACAAUGAGUGGUUAAAAGUUGUGCUCAUUGAACUUGGGAAGUUUUCUAUUUCUUCUUUUUUUUAAACUUAUUUAUUUUGAAACGGAGUCUCACUCUGUCGCCCAGGCUGGAGUGCAGUGGCAUUAUCUCAGCUCACUGCAAUCUUUGCCUCCUAGGUUCAAGCAAUUCUCCCACCUCAGCCUCCUGAGUAGCUGGAAUACAGACACAUGCCAUCACAUUUAGCCAAUUUUUGUAUUUUUUAGUAGAGAUGGGGUUUCACUGUAUUGGUCAGGCUGGUCUUGAUCUCCUGACCCUGUGAUCUCCCAGCUCGGCCUCCCAGUGUUGGAUUACAGGCAUGAGCCACCAUGUCUGGCUCCUAUUCUUUAUUUUAAAAAAGAGUGCUUUCUGUAUUUGUGAAGUUGUCACAUCUUAAUUUUUCAGUAAAAGGCCAGUAAGAGGAGGCAGGAGGAAAGAGUAGCUCCUGGGUGCAUGGUUGAGUUUUUAAAAAGAACAAGUUUUAAGAGAAUAUGUUUGUUUCCUGUUUUGUAAUGUGUAUAACAUUCUGUACACAUGAUUUGUAUGGAAGGAUACACAUACCAAAUUGUAAACAACGUCUCCUCCUAGGGAAUGGAAGUGCAGAGGGGAGGAAGGGGGAGGCACUGUACUUUGCUUUAUAUACUUGCCCAUUUUUGAGUUUUCAUAGUGAACAUACAUUUUUAUAAUUUUAAAAAUAAUUGAUAGUUCUAAAAAUGCAAAUUGGCUAUAAUUUAUUUAAAUUCAUUUUCUGUAUUUUAUAAUGUCUUUUUAUUAAAAGGCUUUUUGGAAAACUUUUACAAGGUCAGGCACAUAGUGACUCAUGCCUGUAAUCCUAGCACUUUGGGAGGCUGAGGUGGGUGGAUUGCUUGAGCCCAAGAGUUCAAGACCAGCCUGAGCAACAUGUGAAACCCCGUCUCUACAAAAAAUACAACAAUUAGCUGGGUGUGGUGGCACACACCUGCAGUCCCAGCUGCUUGGGAAGCUGAGGUGGGAGGAUUGCUUUUGAGUCCAGGAGGCAAAGGUUUCACUGAGCCAAGAUUAUGCUUCUGUACUCCAGUUUAGGCAACAGGUGAAACCCUGUCUCUAAAAAGAAACAACAACAAAAGCUUUUAUAAUGAUAGUUUGAAUUGAAAAUAGUAUAUGAAAUUUCAAAUAAUGUCAUAAAAUAAGCUAUAACUUCUGAUUAUGUGAUAUUUGGUACAGUUUGCAAAAUUGUUAGAACUUUUUAAGAUGUUAGUAUGAAUUAUAAAAUACCAUGUACAAUAUUAGGGGUGAACUUUAACCAAAUUUUCUUGUAUAGGUUUAUUUCAAAGCUAAAACAAAACUUCAGUUAGGGGAACCAUUAAAUAUCUGAACACUUUUCUGAAAUCAGGCAUUUAGUUUGCAUUGGGAGACAUGCUCAUUGCCAGGAUAUGGAAGUGAGAACUGACAACCUUAAUCACACUGUGAUACUUUGUGCAUGGUCAAGUCUUCAGCUAGAACAGACUAUAAAGAAAGUCGUUGACUACAGCCACUCAGAGACUACAGCAAAGCACAGAAGAUCUAUCAGGAAGGAGGAGCUGGUUUUUUUGUUUUUUUUUUUUUUUAGGUUUUUAUAAAGUCACGUUUAUUGAAGUAUGAUUUUACAUUCAGUAAAAUUCAUCCUGUUAAGAUUUGACAAAUGCAUAGUCAUACCAUAAUCAAGAUGCAGAUUAUAGUAUCUUGUAGAAUCACUCUAAUGAUUCCCUCCUGUCCAUUUACAAUCAAACCCCUUUUUGAUCCCAAGGAACUCACUGACAUGUUUUUCUGUCAAAAGUGUCAAAUUUAAUCACUAAAAUGAUCUGCAGUACUAUGGAAAAUGUAUAAGCACAUAAAAUACACAAACCAAUUUUUUUUUUUAAAAGUGAGAUACUUUAAAAAGUUUCUUUAGCAUACCAACAAAAAAAAUGAAGGUAGUAUUGCAUUUUACUAUAGAUGUGCAAAUAUUCCAAGUCCACCAUUGUCCUAUAUAUGGCUCAACAGUAAUGUUUAAGAAUAUACUGGGUGGGCAUGGUGGCUUGUGCCUGUAAUCCCAGCACUUUGGGAGGCCGAGGUGGGUGGAUCACCUGACGUCAGGAGUUUGAGACCAGCCUGGCCUGCAUGGUAAAACCCCAUCUCUACAAACAUGAGGCCGGAUAAUCACUUGAACGUGGAAGGUGGAGGUUGCAGUGAGUCGAGAUUGUGCCGCUGCACUCCAGCCUGGGCACUAGCAAGACUCAAAACAAAACAAAAAUAUGUAAAAAUACAAAAUUAGCUAGGUGUGGUGGUGUGUGCAUAUAAUCCCAGCUACUCGGGGACCUGAGGCAAGAGAAUGAUCCCAAGAGGCAGAUGGUGCAGUAAGCUGAGAUCACACCACUGUACUUCAGCCUGGGAAACAAGAGUGGAGCCUUAAAAAAAA